AUAUAUAAUUUAUUCGGAUUUGGAUUCGGAUAAUAUUUCGGAUAUCCAUACCUAUUGACAUCCCUACUGCUUAUUCCACUUUUCAAUAUACAAAAAAUACGUAAGAAACACGGUGAACCAUUCACCGUGUUUAGACACGGUGAAUGAUUCACCGUGUUCAACUUAAUACGCUGGCCCCAGCCCUGCCCGCGUGGCGCUGACGUGGCGCCUGCGUGGCAUGGACAGGACUAUUUUUGCAAUUUUAAUUUUGAUAGGGCUAUUUUUAAAAUAAAAAUUGCUUAGGGGGCUAUUUGCAAAAAAAGCCUUUUUAAUUUUGAAGUUGAACUUAAAGAGAUUUUAGGCUUGCUUGUUUCACUAAAGAUAAGGUUUAAGUUGAAGUAAAACUACGGAGAGUUCAAGUAAAAAUAGAAAAAAUUUUAAAUACCAUCCAUGUGGUUUCACAUUUUCUCACUUUAAUAUUCAGUGGUUUAAAGUGUAUUAAUUUAGUGCUCUGUGAUUUUAUUUUUAUUUUUUAUUAUCGAUUUUACUAAUUUUUUUCGUUAAAUCAGUGACGAAGUUAAAAUUAAAUAGUACUAAAAUGAAUAUUUGAUAAACCUAGGUGGGGUAUUUGAAGUUUUUUGUAUAUAAUUUAACGAAAUAUUAACGGAGAAGCGACGAAAAGAUAAAAAUGAAACCACAUGAUACUAACUUGAUACACUUUAAACUACAUGGUACUAAAGUGAGAAAGUGCGAAAUCACAAGGAUGGUAUUUGAAAUUUAUCUAAAAAUAAAUAGUAUUUUAACGGGAACAAACCGGAUGGCAAAUACGAAUACAACUGAAUUUUUGUACAGACAAAUAUGAAAAAUUAAACUUUGUUGGAAUAUAUUUAUUAUUUGAUAUGUUUACAUAGAGCUGAAUGAAAUUAACCCUAAUAAUUAUAUAGAGUCAUUUUCAAUAAUGUCUCCACACAAACAGCACACCUCAUGGUACACCUUUCCAACUACUACGAACGCAACAUUUCCUGGUCAACACUGUGAAUAAGCCCCUCAAAUAAAGUAUGAGGCAUAUCCAUAGCAUUAUUCCAGUUUAUACCAGAAUUUGUCUUAAGUUGAUUGGUUAGAAUCCCCUUUUUGCCUUCUCUUAAAGAUUUCUCAUGCAUAUGUGUUGAAGCCCUUAGAUCUCUAUUAGAUUUGUCAAUGUUUUUUUGUUUAAGUGGUUAGUUAGGUCAUUUCACACUGAAAAAAGUUUAAGUAUCUUUCUGAUUGCGCUUCUGAUGCAUGCGUAAUUGACCGUCGCGCAAAGAAAAUGAGAUGUGGAGCAUUUUAUGUUUCUUAUUUUGGCUAAAUUACAGAAAACCUUCCUGUAAUAACCUGUUUUUUUACUUUUCCUUCCUGACAUUUAAAAACCUACAUUUUGCCCCCCUGUAAAAUGAAAAAUGUUCACAGGAGAGUUACGGGAUGUAAAAUGACCAUUUUGCCCCUCGCCAUUGUCGUCUUCUUUCCCAUCUUUCUCAGCCGCCCCUUCGUUCGGCCGCGAUUCCCACCUCAAUCGGCCGCGAUUUCUCUCCAUUUCCUUCUCCACCUGCUCCCCUUUUCCUCCUGGACCCUUGGCACCCUCGAUUUCGGCGACAGUAGGAGAAAACCGAGAUAGGCAACAGUAGGAGAAGGGCAAAGAAGGCGGAGGCGAGGCGGCGGAGGACGGCGAAGGGGAUGUAGGUGAGGGCGCGGCAGUGGAGGACGGCGAGGCGGCGAGGCGGCAGCGAGGUGGCGAGCCGGAGGGAGGCGAAGCAACAGGGAGAUGGCGGAGGGGUAUUUUCGGCAUAAAAAUAUAUUUUUUAACAGAACCCUAACGGUAGGGGGUGAAGUGCAUAUUUUUUAUUUUAUAGGGGGAUAAAGUGUAGAUUUUUAAAUGUCAGGGAGGGAAAGUAAAAAAGUGGGUUAUUAUAAGGGGGUUUUCUGUAAUUUAGCCUUUUAUUAGCUUAUAUUUUGGUAAAGUGAUGUUUCGUUCGUCUCAUAUUUGAUGGAAAGAAGAUUGUUUGUGAAUGCUCGAGUGCUAAACAGUCGGUUACUAACAACUUACGAUUAAACAUUUUAGAUUGAUGUUUGCGCUCAAUAAGUUGCUAAUAUCUUAUGGUAUUUUCUUUCUUAGGAGUUGCAAACUAUUUAUUUUUGAUUUUUUUUAUAUGUUCGGUUUAAAUAUGCAGAAUCCUUGACUCACAAAUGAUACUAAUUUAUACUGCAUAUAAAUAGUAGGAUACCAACCAAUUAAUUACAUAGAACAAAUUUUUUUUUUUUUAUAUAUUUCUUACGAAUCUACAUUAUCAAUUCGCCCAAUGGCUCCAACUUUCUACGUGGAGAACUUCAAGCUCAUAUUUCUUACGAAUCUAUAUUAUCAAUUCGCCCAAUGGCUCCAACUUUCUACGUGGAGAACUCCGAGCCCAGAGUUUGCUACGUGGUAAUGCCAACGCUAUAGGACCGAAGAUUAUAUUAUUGGAGAGAGAGAGAGAGAGAGAGAGAGAGAGAGAGAGAGAGAGAGAGAGAGAGGCCAUAGCUGUUGUGUUCCACUCAUCUUAUAUGUUAGGACCCAAAAAAAAAAAAAAAAAAAGAGGGGGGGGGGGGGGGANNNNNNNNNNNNNNNNNNNNNNNAGGGGGGGGGGGGGAUGUCAAAAAUAUGCAAUGGAAUGUGGGUAGGUGAUUUAUUUUUUGAGGAGUUAUGGUGAUGAGGGGCUUAUUAUUAUUAUUAUUUUUUUUGAGAGCGAGAUAGGUAGCAUGCUACCUGUUUCGUUUAUUUAAUUUAGAAAUAAACUUAGCUAGAAAUGUGAAUCAACUAGAAUACGAACUUAGGUUUCGGGUACCAACCACCAAGCUCUUUGCCGGUUGUAAUUUAGUUUAUUUUACUUUGUCAUUUUGUGAUUCAAAAAUUUUACUUUGCCUUUUUUGAUUUUAGCUCCUCUUCACUUUGUCAUCCUGUGGUUCAAAAAGUUACGCUUUAUUUUCCUGUGAUUUAACGUAUUUUUUUAUUUUGGCACCUUAUAGUUUUUUAAAAAAUUUUAUUUUACCAUCCUAUUUCAUAAUAAAUUUUCUGGUAAAAUAAAUUUUAAACCACGGUAGAGGAAAUUUAAAGUUUACCCUAAAAAAAAAUUUGAAUGAGAAGCCGUUUAUUCUUUUUUAAUAGACAUAUAUUGUAGAGGCUUGCGCAGAAACUUUUGAAUUGGCACAAAUUAUUAAAAUCCGAAUGCAAAGUAAAUCACACAACUCACCAAUAGGGAUGCAAUCAAGCGAAUCCGGGGGCAGGAGGGUUUCCUAUUUCUUGUCAGAAUGGGGCGGAUUCGAUACGGAUUAUUUUUUAUUUUAUUUUUUUUUUGCACUUACCACCCCAUUCAGGGCGGAUUGGGACGAGAGCGGAUUUUUGGCGGAUUUUUUAUAAAUCGGGAUCAAUUGAAGGAAGAAAAGAGUCUCCCGCCUCCCUCUUCAUUUAUUUGGCGGAUUGGGAUGGAUUUGGGACGGACUAUAUUUUUUUAUAUUUUUUUUAUUCUUACUUACCGCCCAUUCGAGACGAAUCGGGACGGGAGCUCUACCAACCCGGAUCAAUUUGCAUUCCUACUCACCAAACUUCUCAACAAACUUGAUCUGGUCGCAUUAAAUGGGCUGGGUUAGAAUCCGAGUUAGUGUGAGUCCGAAUCCAAUUCAAUAAAAUUUAUAAGCUUGUCAGAUCAAGACCGAAUUGCGGAACCAGUUCAAAAAUUAUGACCCAGGCCUGAUUACCAGGGCCCAAAAAGGGCAGUGCCGCCCCGGAAUGCAGUCGGUGUCGUGCCGUGUCGUGCCGUGCUGUGCCGUCCCAAACCAUUUGCCGGCCGGCCCCAACACAGCAGGCCAUGCCGUGCAGGGCAGCGGGUCGGCGACAUGCAGCUCAGCACGGCCGCCGUCUGUGUCAGGUCGGGCCUGUCCACGGGCCACCCAGCCUGUUUUACAAUUCAACCCAAUUUAGAUCCAUCCAUGAUCAAUAAUUAUUAUUAAUCUGUCUAUUAGGGAGGAUUUGGCCUAAUUUUUGAAAAGUGAUUUUAGGCUCAAAAGUAAUUUUCAGCUCAAUAGUGCGUUUGCCAACCUUACUUUCCAAAUGUGAUUUUGAUUUUUAGAAUCAGUUUGCUGAUUUUCGAGAUCCAAAAUUAGAAACAGCUAAAACUUGCUUCUUGACAUCUGAUUUUGAUUUUGAACUGAAACUUCAAAAUUUUUAUUUUGAUUUUAGAUUUAAAAUUUAAAUUUAAAUUCAAUUUUAAUUUUAGAUUUUAAAUUCAUAUUUGAAUUUUUAAAUUUUAAAAUUUAAAUUUUAAAAUUUAGAUAUUAAAAUUUAAAUUUAAAUUUAAAUUUCAAAUCUCAAAUUUUAAAUUUUAAAAUUGAAAAUUGUAAUUUUCAAAUUUUAGAAUUUAAAAUUCAAAAUUAUUAGUCUUAAUUUUCAAAUUUUCAAAUUCAAAUUUUAAACUUUAAAAAAUUAAAUUUUAAACUUUUAACUUUUUAAAUUUUAAAUUUUAAUUUCAAAAUUUAAAAUUAUUUUUUAAAUUUUAAAAAUUCAAUUUUAAAUUUCCAAUCUUUUAAAUUUUAAAUUUUAAAUUUUAAAUUUCAAAUCUUUAAAAUAUUAAUUUUAAUGUUAAUUUUUAUUUUAUAAAUUUUAAAUCUUAAAUUUUAAAUUUUAGAUUUCAAAUUUGAAAUUUAGAUUUUAAAUUGAGAAUUGAAAAUUUAAAUUUAUAUUUAAAAAUCAAAUUUUAAACUUUAAAUUUUCAAAUUUUAAAUUUAUUUUUAAAUUAAGAUAUCAAAUUUGAAAUUUUAAUUCAAAAUUAAGUUUUUUAAUUAAAUUCAAAUUUUAAAUUAUUUUAAAAUAAAAUUUAGUAAAAAUAUUAUUAUAUGUAAACAUCAAAAAGAUUUUGUCAAAUAAUUUCACAAAAUCAUUUCAGAAAAAUCGCUUUUAUCUAAACUAAACCAAACGCUUUACGGCUCUUAGUCAAAAUUAAUUCCUCAAACCAAAAUUAAUUCCGUAGAAAUCACAUUUUCAGAAAUAUAAGGCCAAACGGGCCCUUAGGCUUAGUUUGCUAUUGAGGCCCAUCUAACAUUAUUAGAGAAAAUAAAGUUUGGAUAAAAACAUAUACGGAUAUGGUUUUACAUUUUUUGACGGAACCACAGAAAUUAUAUCAUAACUAACUCAUUACGAUACGUGGAUGACAACAUUAUAUAUGAAAACAAACAUAAUAUUUUUUUAUCGUAUUUUAUCAUCGCACGUAACGCAAUCUUUUCACAAUCCAAACGAAAUCUUAAUCUCCAAAACUUUUAUUUUAGUUUUUUACUUUUAUCAUAGUGCGGUAAAUACAAACUAAAUAAAUCUGGUUAUUUAUUCAAAAAAGAAAAAAAAAAUCCAACGUAUAUCCAAGUCGCAUGAGACGCAUGUUUUCGGCCGUCUCUCGAUCUGAAGCCUCUCUCUUUCUCUGACAGACCUUCGCUGCCGCCCGCUCCCCCUCCCUCGCCGUCAGCCGCCGCCAGCCGUCGGACGCCAAGCAAGCAGCAGUCUGCCCAGUCGGGCCUACGUCUCCCUCCAGUCUGCUCCAUCGAUCGACGCUUCCUCUUCUCUCAUUUUCUUAGGUACCGAUUUAACAAAUGACAAUAUUGUUCAAGUUCGAACCUUAUUUAUUUGUUUUUGUUAGUAAAUAAUUGUUAUCAACUAAAUUGGGAGUGAUUUUAUUAAAAAAUUUAAAAAUUUAAGAAGACGUUAAUGAACAAAAAAAGAAAAAAAAAGUUGAGAAGGCCAUUAGAGAACGGUGUAUAAGUGACAGGGUCUUGUUAAUAUAUAGCAUUAGGACUUUUUUUCCCCUCUUUUUCCAUGCUGAUAUGAAUUUGGAUACGGAUAUUAAAACGGAUACAAAUACGAAUUGGAUUUAUGUGGAGUAUGAACUCGAAUCGGAUUUUUGAUCAGAGAUAUAAAUUAGAUUUUGGACGGAUACUGAUUAGGGUGUGUGUUUAUUGAGAGAUAGAGAGUACAAAGAAAUACACAUUGUAAUGUGCAUGUAUGUGUGAUUGUAUUUUUUACAUAAUAUAUGCAUCAAUAUAGGUAUUGUGUCUCUGAUAUCCGUAUCCGAAUCCAAAUUCAAAUUCGAAUAUGAAAAGCAUUUGUUCGUAACAUGUAUCCGAAUUCGACAGUUACAGUGAGUAUCUGACCAAAUCUGAAUCCAAAUUCAUGCCAAAUGGACUAUUUAUCAUCCGAAUCUACCUCCAACUGGAUUUUCCGGUCCGAUAAUGUCACAUCAGUUAAAAAAAUCAAAAGCAUGCUCAGGAACAUUAUGAGCAACAAAAUCUUCUUCUUUGUCUCCUAGUAUAUGCUACAUGAACAUUAGGAAAAUUUUUGAGCGAAUUUUUUCAGUAAAUGAUAGUAUUUCAAAGAAACAUAGGUAGCAUCUUCGGGAUGAACGUAAGGAUCCAUUCAAGCUAUAGAUGUUAUGAUUUGCUUUGGAUUAUACAUGCAGGAUAUUUUGUUUAGUUUGUUUGAUUUCUUUUUUAUAGGUUGGGAGUAGUUUCAUUUGAUUAUGUUAUCUCUCCUUACCCCUGCUCUGGUUACAAUUUUCACCUUAGAUUUCAUUCGCGGAGAUAGUUUUAUUUGAUUGUGUUAUCGCCUCAUAUUUGGUUAUUUGCUACUGGGAGCAAGUUUAUUCUUUUGUAUUAGUAAACCUUUGUUUUUUAAUCCAAUUUUGUUUGGUCAACAUUGGCUCUUUAAUCAAUUUUUAUUAUUAUUUUUCAAAUCUAACAUUGGUGAGUGGUGCAUUACCAAACUCGUGCUAGGAUAAACCGUUCCCAUUUGAUAACCAAAAACAAAAAAAAAGGCAAAAAAAGAAAAGAAAAGAAAAGAAAAAAGGCAUGGUUGUUGGAAGAAGGGGUUCCUCCAUUUCCAGCCUCCGACGAAUCGCAGCGAGGGUGUUCUCUUCCUACUCUGCGCCCAUUCACGGAAUCCACGUUUUUCAGUGCCCGGUGAGAUUCAUGCACUCCUAUCCCCCUCUCUUUUCGUGCUUCUGUUUCUUGAUUUCGGAUAGAUAUGAAAUGUUGAGGAUAGAUCGAACGAUCUUUUCUUAGUUGAGAUUGUAUUGUUAAGUUUUAUGAUUAGGAUGUGGUGGGAAUCGUCGCUAAGCUCUCGGAAUGCAUUGCCUCCAGAGGAGGUAAUAUACAUAGCAUCGACGUCUUUGUUCCCGGGAAUAAACAGGUCUUCUACUCUAGAAGGUCAAUUUUCUCAUCCCUUUCUCUAUCUUUCCCAUGCUAUUUCAUCCAUUCCUUUCAAUUUAAUUAGUUUCUUGUGCAAAGAAAGUUAUAAUCACCACUAACCCUUUUGAUUUUGUUUUCAAGAUUGGACCGGCAUGUUUGAUAUUUUUCUUGAGGGGUUAAUUUAGGAUCGACAUAGGUAGAAAGUUGAAACAGAUCGAAAAUUUUGGGACUUGUGAAGUUGCCUUAUCCCUUGUAUGUUUUUAAGUUCUGCUUUAUCACUUCGGUGGAUUUAGUUUUCUGAAAGGAUCAAGAAUAGUAAAAUCUACGAUAAAUGCAGCUGUUAUCUGACAGAUUAAUGUUUUGGUAUUGUAAUGUUUGCCAAGAUAGUUGACUGCAAUCCGUAACUGACAGUUUUAGGGCUCGUGUUGAUUAAUAGUCGACAUCCCCGAUGCUUUCUGUUUCCGUCUUCUUUGAUAGAUAAGGUAACAAUUGCCCAUCAAGCUCCUCAAAUUGAGAGAAAAUACUGGUUGUCUGGAGCUAGGUUAUAAUGCUUCUAAAAGCAAGCAAGACCGUUUACUUCCGCAUUGUUUCUGACAAUGGUUUAUCUGAAUUGACGAUCGACACCAUUAAACAUGAUCUAGUGUAUUUGAACUUUUUGGAUUUCACAUUUCAGAAUUUUUCGCUAUCACUUGGUAAUGUAAGAUGAAUUUAAUGCUGGUUGAUCGGUAGGCAAAUGAUAUUGUAAAAUUACAAAAUUUGGUUUCUAGGAAGUUUAAAUAGCCUAGAUCGUAUUUAACGGAGCUGAUCAUCGAUUCGGAUAUCCUAUUGCGGGAAACGACCUGGAAGUAAACGGCUACGUUUACUUCUGAAGUAUUCUAGCUUUAGUCAGUUGUCUGUUAGCAAAUCCUGUUAAUUCAAUGAUUAUAAUAAGAUGUGCCUAGCCAUUAGCAUGUUGUUCUUUUUAAACAAUCCGAGUACUUUACAAGUUCAGAUCUUUUAUUAUCCGCAUUACUAAUGUCUGCUAAAAGAGAAUAGUUUUCUGCAGUGAAUUUGUGUUUGAUCCUGUACGAUGGCCACGGGACGUGUUGGACAGUGACUUCCUCAGAUUAUCAAGGUUAUUCAGUGCAGAAAAAUCUAUUGUAAGGGUCCCUGAUGUAGACCCCAAAUAUAAGAUUGCAGUUCUUGCUUCAAAGCAGGUAGGUUCCGUAUAUGCUUUUUAUUAUUUAAAAUUUACUUUCUCUAGUUGCACGAUAAACUACUUAAGUGUCCAACUAUUUGAUUAUAUCAUCUAUACACAUAGUAGUUUGACGUAGUUAUUGCUUGUGUAGGAUCAUUGUUUGGUAGAUUUGCUACAUAGAUGGCAGGAGGGUAGGCUUCCGGUGGAAAUUAGUUGCGUAAUAAGGUGAUAUAUUUAAUGUAUUUCUUUUCUGGUUUUUACUUUAGAUGAUUUUCUUCCGCGGCAAAAAAAAAAAGCUAUGGAGAACUCAACUUUAAGCCAUUUAUGAAGUAGUCUCUUCAAAUCUUCAUUUUUUUUAAUUGAAAACCCGUUAAACUUUGAUGUUUCGGAAUUGAUUAAAUCAGGGAUUUUAUAUUAUAUUCACAGCAAUCAGAUACACUAAAAGUUAAAGGGGUAUCAAUCAUAUAAAGUAAAGUGAAAGUGCCUAUUUAAAAUGACCAAUAGUUGAGGCUGUCUCCAUAUUAUAUUUAUUUUUUUUUUAGCAACUAAUAAAUUCAUUUUCGCAGCAAUCAUAACAGAUCUCCAAAUACCCAUGUUAUACGUUUUCUUGAGAGACAUGGGAUUCCAUAUCACUACUUACCAACAACUUCAGGAAAUAAAAGAGAGCAGGAAGUUCUGGAAUUGGUUGAACAGACAGAUUUUCUUGUGCUCGCAAGAUAUAUGCAGGUAAAAUAUUUAAAGUGCUUCGAAAAACUUCAAGUGCCUACUUCCGCAUUUGGAAACCUACUCAUUUAAGAAAACUUUUGGUUUACCAAUUUUUUGUGGUACUUGUAGCUAAAGUUAUUUUAUUAAAGUUUAUUUUGUUUAGAGUGGUUCUUUCCCGGAAACAACAAGAGAGUUUGAACCAUCAGAAAUUUAUGGGCUAAAUAAGCAUCUGAUUAUUGGAAACUGGAGUUGUAAACUGGAGUCGUCUUAUUGUAAUUUGUUUGAGAGUUUGAACUUUGCUUUAGCUAACAAAGUACCUUUGGCUUGAUAUGUUGUAUGAUGCUGUCACGCCCCGGGACCCAGCGGGAGCCCGCCCGGCGCGUGCCCAGACCCGCCAUAUGUCUACAACAUAUAAGGCGUCUAAAAACAACAAUAAUAACAGCAAUAAUAAAAGACAUCUAGAAGUAUAAGAGCAUAAUAAAUGUCUAAAUGCUACAACAAGGGAUAAGGAUAAAACAGUAAAUCCACUAAAUAAAACAUAGAGUAAGAACAAUAGAAAAUCCCAAAUACAAGAGCUAUAAGUAGGUACAUAGGUGGUCUCUAUACAUGGAUACAAAAUCUCUCUCUCUCUCUCAACUACAAAAAGAAAGAGUAAACCACCUAGGCAAAGUACCGCUCCUCGCUAGCUAGCUAAGCGAUCCCCUUGCCGCGAUCCCGUGCCUCCGCCGGUGCCGAAGGCUCUGAAAAGUAAACCACAAAACGGGNUACAACCAUCAACCCUUAUACCGGUACAAGGCCAGUCUUGUUCCGGUACAAGCCCUGCUGCGGGCUACCCGAGAGCUGUCCAAAAAUUCCGAUUUUGGAAUUUUGGGUGCCAAGUCCUACUCCAACAUCCUCGGGAUGCGUGCCAAGGGUCGGGACACUAUCAACGACCCUCCAAAAACUGUGGAAAGGCUCCACACACAGAUCAAACACUCGAAUCUUGCAAUUUGCUAAGAUCCAGUGCAUUACAGAUGCAGAAGCAGAGUAACUAUUUGCAAGUGAAACCUUGUGAAUAUAUAUAAGCCUUUACAUUCCGCAGGGUUUUAAGAAACAAUGUCUUGGUUUGCUGAAUGAAAAAGAUGUCAGGUUUAACUAAGUAAGAAUGUGCUUAAACUUGCUUGAAGUGGUUCAUCCUUUAUAUGAACUGGAAUUUGGCUAUCCGGAGAUUGGUUCUGUAGCCUCAAGUUUUAAGUACUUUUGCUUCGCGCCUUGAUUGGUAUUUAUUAUUUAAGCCGUCAUGCCCUUUAAAGACUCGGGAAACUAAAGAUGUGAAUAUAGGCUUAGAAACAUGAAACAUUUUCGUUAGUUGCUGUUCUAUCAGCAGCAGUGGUAGUGAUGUUUGCGUGAAGAAAUAAGUGCACUUUUUUUUAGCAUUAUUGAGGUGUAGUAAGUAUCGGAUACACUCAUUUUACAUCGUCUUUUUCGCCUAGUAUCACCUAAUUAGUUCUUACUUGCAGAUCCUGUCCGGAAAAUUUUUGGAAACUUACGGUAAAGAUGUCAUUAACAUUCAUCACGGCCUUCUCCCAUCAUUCAAGGGUGGAAAUCCUUCUAAACAGGUCUGCAUUUCCUAGAUCUUGUUCUUCAAAUCUGGUCUCUAAGAUUGUUGUUUAAACUUUAAAAUCUCUUUUAUGACUCCAGGCUUUUGAUGCUGGGGUUAAAUUGAUCGGCGCGACAAGUCAUUUCGUGACAGAAGAACUCGAUGCUGGCGCAAUCAUUGAACAGAUGGUGAUUGUGUUCACAAUUCUUUUCUUUUUUUUGAUUGCAUUGAUACGAAUAUGCUGGUCAGCGUAUCAAUAUAGCUACCUACCUGCAAUAAAAGUUAAUGAUCCAUAAUGAUGAAUCAAACAAGUAACUUUAGUGGUUUUCAUAUGUUAUUGAUUGGUUCAGAAUAAAAGUUAAUGAUCCAUAAUAUGAGGGUGAAACUAAUCUUCAAGAAAACAGAAGUGGGCCAAAAAGAAGAUCGCGUUAAAUCUUUUGUUUAUCGUUCGAUUUACUGUAUAAACGCCACUCGACAUUACUUACAGCUCCAAAAUUUUGACUCUUUUAUUCAUGUGAUACAGGUUGAGAGAGUCUCUCACAGAGAUACCUUACAAAGCUUUGUGAUGAAGUCGGAGAAUCUUGAGAAGCAGUGCCUUGCACAAGCAAUAAAAUCUUAUUGUGAACUCAGAGUGUUACCUUACGAAUCCAAAAAAACUGUUGUAUUCUGAGGCCCUUGUGAAAUUUUAUAAUUUAUAUUAUUUGCAAUUUAAUAAUCUGUAACAUUAUGGGUUGUCUUUGAUUAUCAUUCCUUAAGUUCAUAAUAUUUCUUUGAACUCUCCCUGAAUUUGCCUAAUAAUGUGAAAGUUAAGUUAUAGCAUUAAUGUUACUCUACAAGGUGAUAUGCACAUUUUAUCACCAAGAAGAGAAACAUCCACAACUUCAUAUUUAGAUGUAUAUAUUCUUAAUUAUGAGUUAGUACAUUUUAUCUCUCUCAUAUGUAAAUAUAUAAAGUAAUUGAUUUUUAGUUCUAGGUAAUGUAUUGAGUCCCCCUCAACUAUUGGCCAUUUUGGAAUUGGUCUCUCAACUUCUUCUUUUUAUUAUUAUUAUUUUUUUACAAACUGUUAAUUUUAAUUUUUUACUUAAGUUAUUCUAAUUAGUUAAAUUAAAAAUUUUGUUUCAUCUAAAUUAGUGUUUUUUUUGGGGUAAAUUUCCCAAGAACUUGAGAAGGUUCAGUUAUUUUAGUUUCAUUUACUAAACCAUGAUUAAAAUUAUUAAAUUUUAUAAAAUUAAAAUGAAUUUAAUAAAAAAUUUAAUUUAUUUCUUCAAAUAAAGCCAGAAUACUUGUAAAAGUAAAUGGUCAUUUACAUUUGUGUUAUUUCUCGCUAUAGACUACGAACUCCAUCGUACAUAUUUUAGAAUAUUUAAUUUUCUUUUGAUAUUAAGUUUUAUAAAUUUUUAAUAUUAUUUAUCUAAUAUUUAUUAAGUUUCAAAAUUGGUAGUUUUUAAUUAUUAGGCAAAUAAUAUUAAAAAUUUAUAAAUUUUGAAUUUAAAUUUGUAAGUGCUACUAACUUUUUCAUCAUUAGGUUUAUUCUUUUGAUAAUUUUUAUUUUUUGAAUAAUACUAUUCCAUCAACCACUACUAAACUCAUGAAUGCUAUAACCACGGCCCUACAACUACUUGAUCUAAGGACUAAAAAUUUACAAGUACCAAUAACUUAUGCUAUCAGAAAUACUUCAAGUCAGCUUUCUGUUACGACCUUAGUAUUUUUGUUCGCAAAGCACGUGUAGCGCCCGCCUUCCGGCUCGAAGAUAGAUAAGCCUAACUCUUUAUUGCAAGCCUACACCUCCACGUCCUACGACUAAAUAUGCAAAAAGGAGAGAAGAGAGAGGGGUAAAGGUUCUAAAAAAAACCUAUUUAGAAAAAUUGGAUUACAAUAUAUAACUCCUUUUGUGUCUCUAAUUCUGUUUUGGUCUUAGCCAACCCUUCUACUUAUAGGCUCAUAGAUACAAUAAAUCUAAUCUAUACUAACUCACAACUAAGCAUACAUUAAAGCACACAUUAACUCACCUAUUAUCACAUAGUAACGAGUCCUUAUGAAUGCAAGGUGAUUCUAACGGUUGUUCAUAACCCUUGAUUUUUCGCUGGCGAUUUUGGAACCAUUAAGUCCGGCACAUGAUCCUUUCUCUCCCAUAAUGACGGCUGGUUUUAGCCCUCCUUUACAGCCCGCUCCGCUAGCGAAGUUAAGCCAGAAAAUCAAAUUAUACUGCAAUUUCGUGAAGUCCUUGGUAUUUCUCUCUCUAUACAUAGAGAAAGAAAAAAUUGAGCUCAUGUGAUUUUAAACGCACAAGAAUAUUUAUGUAUUUGGAUUUUUAAGCCGUCGGAUCGUCUCAAGAUUUUUGUACAAUACUAAUAAAUAAGACUUAAAAAAAUAUACUGUUAAUAAUAUUGGACAGAUCUUGAAACGGUUGGACGGCUAACUUAAACCAAAAAUUCAACUAAAAAAAUAAAAGACGCUUAGGACAACUUAAGAACGUGUUAACUACCCCUUUCCAAGCUCUUAACCAGUAGGAUCCCUCCACGUCACACAAACUGCCACGCGGCAUCCUCUCAUUCGCCACAAAACCGUUAAUCGACGUGGUGAUCCAACGCUUAUAAGCACAACAACAAAGCUUAAAAAUUGCCUCUCGACGACGUCGAAGGCGAGGGGAGGCUCUAUUCCUACGCCGGAGCACGAGGCGGUAUCCUCACCGCUCGGCCCCGGUAAUCUCACCGCGCCCGUCACCGCACUCACCGGUGAUUAUAAAAGCGUUUCACUCUCUCUCUCUCGAGCGCCAUUUCUCCUCCUCCAAACUCAUCGUACGUGGUUGGGUCCUCUUCUUCUCCCUCCUCCACCUCGUAUCCAUGGCGAUCUCGUUCCACCUAGCCCUAUCGCUCCUCCUCCUCCUCCUCCUCCUCCGCGUCGACGAGGGCUUCGUCUCCGUAUCGGCCGCCGCCGCCGCGGAGAGCGUCGAGGUCGGUCCCCGAAACCCUAGAUCUCGGCACCUAGAGUUAGCUUCUUCGUGUUCUCUUUUUCCCGAUUGUUUCUCUAAUUUUGUGGUUUUUUUUUGUGGGGUGGGGGGUUCAGAUCACGUACGGCAGCGUGAUCAAAUUGAUGCACGAGAAGACCAAGUUUCGAUUGCAUUCGCAUGAUGUUCCGUACGGGUCCGGGAGCGGGCAACAAUCGGUCACGGGAUUUCCCAAUGUUGAUGAUUCCAAUAGCUACUGGGUACGUUUUGUGGAUCGCCAUUUUGCUUUGCUUUGAUCUGUAUAAUUUGGAAAUUAGGUGUUGUUCAAUGUUGGGGUAUAUCUAGUGUGUGGAAAUGUUUGCUUUGGAUUUGAAGUAGUUUAAAUUUCCCCCAUCAUUUUUGGGAACGAAUGGAUUGAUGUCUAAUUCGGUUGUUGCCGAAGUUUAGCGAGAGUAGAAAUGUUAGAUUUGCCGUCGGCCACGGCAAUGGCGAGAAGAACCCUGCAAAUAAUUCAUCUUUCGUGGAAAGAUCCACCCACCAUGUAUGGCUAGUAGUGUAUCUCCUCGGCAUCUUUGUGAUCCACUGUGGAACUAUUGUUUCUUCUUUCACUAACUUUGGCCAAAAACCAGGAUGUAAUUACGUCGAUUCAACUUUUCCUUAACCAGUGUUUCAUAUCUCAUAUGCAAGACUCGAAAACAAUUUUCGAUCUAGUGAAAAAUCAUUUUUACACAUUUUAGGAAAUGCUUCUAAUUUUCGUUUUCUGAACUUGCAGGAACCGAAAUUGAAAGCCUCUCUUUCUCUACUAAACAAAACACUACAAACCCUAAAUUUUGUCUUCCAUGAGUAGUAGUUUUAUCCUGAAACUGGUCUCCAUAGUUUUACAGGGAACAUAACAAGGUCUUAACUUUUGUUUUUCCCCCUCCAGUGUUUUAAGUUGGGGGACUUAUUCUUGAAUUAGAAUGAAUUAUAUAUUGCUCAACCUUCAACUUAGUUUUUUUGUCGGGAGAUAAAUGAAUGUCAUGUAGUCUCUUUUGUUGUGUGUUGAAAUCUCGAAAAGUAGUUGGAUAUAUUGUCUAGCAAUUAAUGUAUAAUGUACAUUAUGCCCUGGCUCGGUAUCUUUGUUCUAUGUGCUUCUUUGAUAAUUACUAAUUGGUAAGUCUUUCCACAUGCAUUCAUUUUUUUUUUUUCCUACAUUCAUCCAUCUCAUCUGUGUCGUUAAUAUUUUAUAGGGUUUUUGGGUUGUUCAAGAUAUAGUAGUAGCUUUAAGUUGAUAUGCUAAUUUUCUCUUUGUACAUUCUCGUAGAUUGUAAGACCUACCCAUGAUUCGUCUGACAAACAAGGCGAUGCCAUUAAAAGUGGAACAAUUAUCAGGUUGCAACAUAUGAAGACCCGAAAGUGGCUGCAUAGCCACUUGCAUGCGUCGCCAAUUUCUGGGAACUUGGAGGUUAGUGUUGUUUGGGUUGAUCUAUCUAGAGAAGUGGUAACCUUUUAUUCGAGUAAAUGCUUGUUUGAGUUAUCUUGCGAGUACUAGAUUCAUGCCCUGCAGGCUGCAGCAGGUUCAAAUUCAAUUUACUAUGUCUUGCAACACGAACAUUGUAAUUAAUAUUUUGUAAUAAUCAAAACUAUUUGAUGUUCGCUGGAGUCCUAAUAACUGAACAUGAUUUAUUGAUUAAGUUAAAUUUGUUACUUGAUAAUAGAUUGAUAAUUAGAUGACUGGAGGAGAUUUUUGGGUCAUUGGCAAUUUGAUAGAAGGUUUGGUUGUGAACUUAAUUGUAACAGUAAAUUAAGGGUGAAGGGUACGGAGUUCACUAAAAUGAAGACUAGGUUACGGACAUCAGAUGAAUAGAGAUAAACCCUGAAGGUAAAUAUCUUGAGAAAAAGGGCGGUGCGGUGGCAAUGAAAAAGAGGAAGUGGAACAAAAGGAACAGCAUAGAGUAAGUAUAUGCUGUCCGCCACACUGAAGACUAGGUUAUUCGAAUAGGAACUAUAGAUAUCAUAUAUAAAGGUAAAUAUCAGCAUAGAGCGCAUUAAGGGAAGGUGGUGUACAUUAAACAUUUCGACCAUAGAUUUAAUAAAUCUAGCAGCCUCGUCAAGGCCAUAAUUCCAAAGUAUGUGAAGUUGGCUGCGAAACCCGUAUUCUCCCAUCUUUCUUUUUAGGUCUUGCCACCCAUUUUAAGGAAUCAUUCCUUUUCUAUCCAGUUUCUCCUAUAACUUAAUUCUACUUGCACUAUGUUCUUAUUGUCACGUAUAUAUCAAUGAAAUGAAGUGGAUGGUGCGAUACUGAAGGUUUAAUUUGCCACCAUCUGUAGGUGAGUUGCUUUGGAGCGGAUGGUGAAUCAGAUACUGGGGACUACUGGAGGUGUGACUUGUUAUUCAUUUUACUCAUGUACCUUGAACCGUUAUUUUAUGAUAUAGUCAAUAUCUUUUUUCUUCCUUAUUUUGUUACCUCAGGCUUGAGAUUGAAGGUAGUGGAAAAACAUGGAGGCAAGACCAAAGAGUAAGACUCCGCCAUGUUGAUACAGGGGGCUACUUACACAGUCACGACAAGAAGUACACUCGCAUCGCUGGAGGGCAGCAAGAGGUAAGAAGAGAGAAUUUAGUGAUAUUCUCUUAACAGUGUCACUCCCCAUGGUAUCUCUAUAUUUGACUCUUAAGAUAGAAUAUACUGGAAGUUCCCGAAUGUCCGCCACAUUGCAGUUUCGCUCUUGAUCUUUCAUUUACAAAGCUCGAGUCCUUGAACUUACAUAACAUGUUACAUCGUCAUUGUCAUUCGGGACCAUAAUCCAUGAACAAUUUUCAAGUCUGCUGAGAGUUGACCAUAUAACUAACAAAUGGCAGAUGAAAAUAAAUUUAGUUGAGUGGAUUAUGGAUCAAAUUGCACCAGAUUUAAAAUUCAAGAACUACUACUGCAUUAAGUUGUUAGAACUUGUCUUCUUGUUAACUUGAUUAUGAUCUCUCUUAUACAUUUGACGUUUUUAAUGUUCUAUUCACAAAUUACGGUGCUGCAGGUUUGCGGUGUCCGAGAGAAGCGUCCAGACAAUAUCUGGUUAGCAGCUGAGGGGGUAUACCUUCCUGUCAAUGGAAGCAAAUAGAUACUAAAAAUCUCGUAGAGUUGAAACAGGAUUAUAAACUCGUCGAGCUGAUGCUGACACAUGUUGCCUGUUUAAAUUUUGAACUAAUCGUGGAAUAGAUCACAAAUUACUUGCUGUGUUAGGUAUAAUUCUUAAUCAGUGGAGAAUCGUGAACAAAACCAAUUUUAUUUUUUUUACUCUUAUCUGUGGAAAUGAUAAUGGAAGUUUGUUGUAAAAAUUUUGGCCGCCUACAAUUUGCAAAUGUAACGAUCGAGUCUCUAGUCAUUCUUGUGGUUCUAGUUAUUGUAUCUCGUGAAUCAGCUCACUUUCGAGUUGCGCCGCUUAUUAGCUCUUUAAAUUGAAAUUUUCAAUUGUUAGAAGUGUAAUUGAUAUAAGAUUGGGCCUUCGUCAUCACCAUAUUUGGACCGAUGAAGUUGUGAUUCGGUCAAAAAUUAUGUUCAUGAAGAGUAUUAGUCUUGUUAUUAUCUAUCAUGAAAAUAUCAAAAUAUCAAGAAGAUCUGUUAGGUAGCCACAAAUAUAAUCUGCCGCUGGAUGGUGAAUGUUUUCAGUAUAUGCUAAUUGAUGACAAGAUCAAUAUUUUUAUUCCCACCGAACUUAAUUUUCAAUCGAAGAACGUUUAUUUCAAUCCAAACAUUUUCUAAACAAAUAUUUAGUAUUAUUACAAACUAAUAGAGUUUGCCUUCAUAUGAGUGUGAACUCAUAUUCUGUUAUUAUUCUGAUGUUUUUCGCUAGAAAGACGAAUAAUCAGUCAUGUCAUGUUGUUAUUUGCUUUAUCCGUAGGAGUUUGCUUUAUCCGUAGGAGGUGUUGCAGUGCUAGAUGCUAGUAUUAUUCAGUGCUCGAAGAUGGGGAUUGAAUCGAAGAUCCAUUGAAUGGCGAGAGUUUGAGAUACUGUGAGAGAGUGAGUCUAAUGCCAUAUUACCUAAACAAUCAAUCUGAUGUAAAAUGAUCCAAUAAUAUACUUAACAUCGAUGAAAUGUUCGAGGGAAUGUUGUCGUGUAACGUUCUCUAUUGGAACAUUUAAUCAACCCGAGAGUCCGAGACCGACCAAACUUAACGCAAUUGACUAAAAGCUUGAUGAUUGAUACCGAAAUCUUAAGUUAGAAACUUAGCUAUUUAAUAUUUUUAACUAACUUUACUUUGUAAAAAUGAAUACGGCGAAUAACUCAGCCACAUUUUUCUGAAAACAAAAAACAACAUUUUAACAAGCUGAGGAAUGAGGAUAGCAUAGCCAUCGACCUGUUCAGCGAAAUAAACACUCCUGCACGCUCCAGCUCUUGGACAAAAUUGUUUGAACUUGUCACAGAAUGAGGGAGAGAAAUAUGUCACUCCAAGAUUUUACAUUUUCACAUUAUUGGUUACCAAUUUAUUGCAAAAUUUAACGAGCCGUUGAACUUAAGUGUUUCUUUUCUUCUUUUUUUUUGAGACAGAUAAGUAAUAUGCUAUCCGUUUCGUUUAUUUUACUUAGAAAUAAGCUUAGCUGGAAAUGUGAAUCAACUAAGAUUCGAACUUGCGACCUCAGGUACCAACCACCAAAUCUUUUGCCACUUGCUCUAGGGACGGUCGGUAAAAGUGUUGCUAUUAAUGCAUUGAUAUUUGGUUCUUGUUUCAAUUAACUCACCUGAUUGGGAGUUGUCCAAUUUAUGCUUUGUUGAGCUUACAGGUAUAGUAUUUUGCACGUGGCUAGAAAAUUCAAUAAAAAAAUAUUUUUCUUUUUCUUCUUAAAUAAUAAUAACGUGUUAUACAAAAGACACAAGUUUAAUUAUAAUAUACUUUCUCCAGUUUUACCAUAAAAUAGAGAAUUAUUGUUUUUAUCAUAAAAUAGAGAAUUAUUGUUUGGUUUGGGAAUUAGGGAAGAAUUAGGAGAACAAGGGCCUUACUCUUCAAAAUAUUUUUUUUUUGAGAGAGAAAUAAGAGAGCAGCAUUCGGGAGGAUUCCAGACAUUUUUGCUGAUUUAGAGGCGUAACUAUCAGUUGCCAUAAUACCAUUUUUCAGAAAUAAAGUAUCACAGUAGUUACUUUAUCUGGUACAUCACCUGAAGAUUGUUGACUUAAAUGGGCCAGUAUACUGCCCUGUGGCAUGAGGUCAUGUUGGACCGAGUCAUAUUUGAACUAAUGUAAGGCUUGAUGAGUCAAAUCAUAUUCGAAAUCGCGUGAGGUUGAUUAGACUAAGUCACAAUCAUGACCCGUGGGCGCUGUAUCUGUAUAUUUUAAGUGAAUUGGUAGCGUAUUUAUAACAGCUCGAGCUUUUAAGAUUAACGGUUAGCGCAACGAUCCGACAAAGAUUAUUAUGAACUGCUUGUAAUAAAAGGAGAUCGAGGGAUGAUCCCUUCGUAAGAUGAAGUAUAAAAUCCGAUGAUGAAACCUAAAUUAAAGUAUGAAGUAUGAAAAGUCAAAGGUACAUAUGUAAAUUUAUCCUGUAUUAUCUCUCUAUCAAGUUACAACUGCAUUACAGAUACAGCGGUAGUACGGAGGCUUUCGUGCUAUCAAGUUGUUUUCAAUGAUGCGGUAUUCAAAUCGACGAUCGGCUUCGUUAGACUUGAUCUACACUAUUAAAAGUAUUUGAAAACUAAAUUUUAUAAUUUUUCAACAUCAUUUGGCUAGUGAUCAAAAGGACUCAAAAUUGACAAUUUUAAUGAUAGAUCUGAUGCGUUUGUGAAUUUAAUAGUGUAAAAUAAUCCAAAUAUGAUAAAAUUUUUAUAAAAAAUUCUUCACUAUUUAGAGUAAGAUCAGUACAUCUAAUCUUAAAUUCAAGCCUUUUAUUAUUAUUUUUUAUAAGAUUUUUAAUUUCAGCUGUUAAUUUUUAGAUUAUUCAUUUGAUAAAUAAGUGAUACCGAAAAAUUAUAAAAUUUAAUUUUCAAAUAUUUUCAAUAGUGCAGAUCAAGUCUAACGGAACUGAUCAUCGAUUUCGAAGCCGCAUCAUUAAAAACAACUUGGUUGGACGGGGGCCUAGCUAUAUAUAUACAUUAGUCGAAUGUACGUGCAUUUGCACAUAACAAUUAUUUUAAUUUAUUCAAAAUUAAUAUAAAUUUGUACAUUAUAUUUAUCCAAAAAUUCACAAUAAAAAUUAUAUUUUAUAAAUUAUACAUUAUAUUUUAUUAGAAAAUAUUUGUAAUAUCCUACAGUGUUAUUUUUUUAUAUAAAUUAUAUUUUUUUAUAUAUAUAUAUAGUUACAACUGUAUUAUAAUUAUAUUAUGACUAUAUGAAAAUCAAAAUAUGACGUUUACUUUAAUGAAUUUGAAUCUAACUGCUACAGUUAAAACUACACAGAGUCUCAACUAUAAUAGUUCGAACUGUGUCCAAACUAGUCACUAUUCUAAUUGCAAUAGUUCAAAAAAUAAAUUUAAUCAAAGAAUAGGCUUUACAUCACUAGUAGCCUUUUAAACAUUUUUUUUUAAAAAAAAACUAUAAAUACAAAUUUUCAACCGUACGUAACCAAACAAAUUAUAAUAACUACAAUGCUUUCUAUACCCAACCAAACACAAAUUAUAAUAACUACAAUGCUUUUCAUAAUUAUAACGGCUAUAAUUUUACCCAAAAAAAUAGUUCUUGUACCCUCGAAAAUAGAGUAUAAAUAUUACAUCAGUCAUCCGAGAAUUUAAAAAAUUCUUUUAAAUUUUUAUAUAUAGCUAAAAAAAAAUUGAUAAGACUAGUGAAAAAUAUUAGCUCUGGCAAAUAGUGUAAAGUUUAUUUCCAAUUUUCUCUCCUAAUUACGGAAUUUUCGCAUCUAACCAAACAGGCGGAGCUUAUAUUUAAUAAUAUAAAGAAGAACAAUCAUUUCUCACGAGGCUGUUCAGACUUCAGAUCCGAAUAGUGGGUUCCUGUUUAAUACGGAGUUACUACUAUUAUAAGUUAUAAGAUGACAAAUAAGAAUAGACACCAAUAGCUGGAACGGAUCAGAACAUCCACAAAAAUAGGACUUUUUUUUGCAUCCCCUACAAAAAAAUUUAUUUUAAAAAUAACUUCAAUAAAUUUAAAUUUACAAAAAUAGUCCUGAUCUUACCACAUAAGCGCCACAUCAGCACCACGCAGAUGGGUUGGGUUGUUAAGUUGAAUACGGUGAAUCAUUCAUCGUGUUUGAACACGGUAAAUGAUUCACCAUAUUUUAUACUUAUCUUUUUUAUAAUAUGUAUAUUUUUUUCUUUUUCUUUUCUUUCUUCAAACACGGUGAAAGGUUCAUCGUGUUUGACUUAACUAUUUAGUCCAGACCCGCCCGCAUGGCACUGAUGUGGCACCUACGUGAUAGGACCAGAACCAUUUUUUCAAAUUUAAAUUUGUUGGCACUCUUUUUAAAAUAAAAUUUUUUUAAGGGACUAAUUGCAAAAAAAAGCCCACAAAAAUAGAUUCAGCAAAAGAGAGAUCUCGUGAUUCCAAAGUUCACCAACCCUCAGAAUGAUAUCCAAAUCCCUCAUUGAAGUUCCUCCUAUCCCCACCGUCGCUUUCAUUUCCUGCCACCAAAUUAGAUGAGCCCUAGCUAGUGUUUUAUUUAGGCAACAAACAGGGGCCCUAACUAGAAAUUCUUUUGUAGUAACAGAUCAACUAGAUAUAACCUUUCACUCUCUCUCCCCCUCACCUCUUUUCAGCUCCUAGGUCCGGCGGUUUACACUUUACAUGAAGAUGACAGCCAUCCCUCACCAACCAACCCGAAAAGGUCUGCCUGCUGUCAAUCGUCCUGACACUACCUACUAUUGGGUAGGGUCAAUUCGACAAAGAGAUUGAAUCAGACAGAAUAAUAUUAAGAAAAAAAAAUUUGAGGAGGAGUGUUUAACUAUAAGAAGGCCCUUGGGAGGCAGGUGGAAUGAAUUUCUAGAAGUGCUUUUCGAAUAAAACUAAUCAAGAAAGAUACGAGAAUGAUUUGAUAAUUUCUUGUUGCAGCAAAAGCAGGGGUAGCAACAGAAGCUUCAAUGAAGUUUCGGAAUAGUUGAAUAGUUGUUCGAGAGGCUAGAUCAAAACGAUAUGUAACAUUCGCUGCUACAUCCGACAUUUCUAACUCCGGUAAUUAAUGGCACACAGAUUUCAUUUCCACCUUCUUUUUGUGGUCCUUUGAAGAAAUUUUACUAGUACACUCUGAAAUUAAAGGAGCAUCAAGACUUGUACUGCAUUCCUUGUCAAAAUUGUUUCAGAGUACCACAAAAAGAUGGCAGAAGAAGAUCAAUGGGGCUGCUGCAAAUUUACCAUAUUUUAAUACAAACCCAGAAUAUUUAUACGCUAAACAAGAAUAGUAAACUAAAGAAAGGACACAAACUAGCUAUCUAAUCCCUAUCCCUAUACAAAAAUGUAUUAAUUAAUAAUAUCAACAAUACCUAGAGAGCCCCGGAGGAGGAUGUAAUUUAUAAGAGAACGUGAUGCUGCUCACUUUGGUAAAUUCGGUUGGGCCAUCGCACUCAGAUCCAACUCUUUUUCCUGCAACAAAAGCACAUGGGUUGCAUAAAUUAGUACGCAUGAGCAAAGAUGAGCAAUUUAUCACUGCCCCCAAAACCACCCACCCCAGUUCCCCACUGAGAUUCCCAAGCAGAGCUGAGUAAACCAGAGAUCUGGUAUUUCAGUGUAACUGCUGUAAAUUGCACUUGUGGGAGUAAAAUGUGAGUUUCUAAACAUGUGGGUCCACCACAAUUUUAACAAAAGAAAAUGGUUUUGAGCCUUUGAAUACACAUUUACGAACUGAUUAAAGAAACUAGUAAAAACGUACAGAACAUACCUGAACUAUUACCUAAAACUAUAAAUUUUUUUGAAUCUGUGUCUACCCAAACUUUUAAAAUUUUUAUUCACCAACCAACCUUUCAACUUGUUUGAUUUGAAUCAGUUAAUGAUACUUCGACUUUAAAAUUUAAACCGAUUACUUACUGUAAUGAAUUUCUAAUUGCGAGAAUUACAAAAACUCUGUAAAGAUAAACGACACACUUAAAAUUUAAAGUCAAAAUGCUAUAGACCGACUCAAAUCAAACAAAUUGAAAAAUUGAGCAGUAAUAUCAAAAUUUCGAAAGAUUAGAUAACCAACUCAAAAUAGUCCAUAAUUUAAAUAAGUACUGUACGUUUUUACCUAAAAAUUACUACAUUAUGUAUGCAUAUGUCGGCAACUUAUAUGUUAAUAAUCACUAGGUUGGUCAAGUGAUUGUUAUAUUAGGAUACUGGUUGCGAGCUUAUAAAAUGAGGCUCCUUAGACUUAAAAUUUUGCCUUCAAUGACUGAAGAUUCAUAUAUCUGUGCACCAAUAUAUAAGGACAAAUGAAUCAGACAUACAAUCGACGGUAUAAAACCAAAGUAUUUGAGCAAUCUAUAGCACUGCCGUAAUUUCAAAGUAAUAAAUAAGAAGCAUCACUAUAUAUUUACAGCAAUAGAAUAAAUGCUCAUUGCGACUCCGUUCAAAAUAAAAUAAAUCAUUUUUAAGCUAAAAUAUGUUGUUUAAAAAUUAUUACCAUUGCAUUUUGGAAUUGGCUAAAUAGAAAAUUGCAAAUUGUAAAACACAAUGCAAAAUUUAUAUAUAUAAACAUCUUCUUCAAUAUAUUUUAUAAUUUACUUAUAAAGCUUGUGAUAUUCAGCAGAUAAGGAGUUGGAUUAAAUGUCACGAUUGGAGUACUAUACUAGAUCUUCAAAGUUAUAAAAUAAUAUAAAUCACCUUUGUGAUAAAAUAUGCUACCUUAUAAAACCAAGAAUAAUAAAACUAUCCAAGCAACUACCAAAAAAAAAAAGUAAACAUUGUAUAAAACAUGCCUAAACUAUUAUCCAUUUUGAUCUUAAAUACCCAACCUCUAAAAAUCUCCCUUAAUUCAUUGAUAUAAACCACUGAGUGGCUCUUUAAUUUCAAAAUUUGAAUGCACUGUUUAUCUUUACAGGUUUAGUUAAUAUAUUUCAUACAAUUUGUAUAACUAUAAAUUCAUUAAAAUAAACUAUUAGCAUAAAUUUGUAUCCGAAAAGCCAUCAAACGACUUAAAUCAAAUAAAUUAAAAGAUUGGAUAAUAAAAUCAGAAAUUUUGAAAUAUUGAAUAGUGGAAUGAGAAUAAUCUAUAAUUCAAAUAAAUUUUACACAUGUUUAUCAAAAAAAAAAGUUUUAUAUCAAAAUAUUUACCAUUUUAGUUCUAUCCCAUUCAUGACAGUAGAAAGGACUCUGUACUCUAUAUGAUUGAUGGAAACGACCCACCGACCGUAGUAAUUAAGAAGGAAGAUGUUUGACUGAAACAGUUAUCAUUUAAGUGGCUUGUUUUAACUUUUUUGAACAUUUGAAAAGCUCAUACGCACAUGGAAAAUUGUUUAAGAAGAACUGGUUUAUCCCUGAUUUACCAAUUAAUAUAUUUAUAUAAUAAAAAAAUUAAAGUAAAAACCAUAGAUAACUUAUUUAAACUACGGAGAAUGGACUAUUUUGAAUCGACUAUUCAAGUUUUCAAAAUUGUUAUUUUUUCUACAUAAUUUUUUAAUUUGUUUGAUUUGAGUCAAUUAAUAGUACGCCGACUUUAAAAAUUAAGCUAAUUUUUUUAAUAAAUCUCUAGUUGUGAGAAUUACAUUAAAUAUACUAUCUAAAUUUGUAAAGAUAAACAAAAUAUGUUAACUCACAUAAAUCAAAUAAAGUAAAAGAGUAGAUAAUAAAAUUAAAACUGUAUAAGUUUGAAUAGUGGAUUCAUAAUGAUCCAUAACUCAGCUCUAUAAAUUUCUAUAAUUUUUUUUUUUAAAAAAAAAUAAGUGAGAUCUUGAUCAUAGAUAUUGCCCCACCACCUAAUAAUGAACCCCAUGCUUUUGGCAUAAUGACAAAUGACUCCAUCCAAAAAGGAAAGCACAAAAUUUUCUUUUUCAGAAAAAUCAAAAGAGAAGAAAUCAUUACUGAAGGAGACGGAAAAGCGAGAAAGAGGAGACGAUCAUGACCUUCUAUUUCUUUAAAUGAUAAAUAAAUAUAAUAAAAGUAACAGUAGGGCGAAAUAUGCAUGUCGAAUCCCUCAACAAUAGGCUAUAUGAAUUAUAUCCUCCAACUUUUUUUUUUUAAAGGGCUAUAAUUUUGAUUGGCCGACGUGAAAUAAAUCUUUAAAUUUGUUUUUAUGUAGGUGACAUUAUAGUUUAGAUAGGAAAUUACUGCUUUUCUAUUAUGCAUUUUAAAAUAUAAAUUUUUAUUGACGUUUUUUAGGGGCCGAGUCAAGUUGAUAUGGACUCGUUAUGCACUUGUCAAAAUUGGAACUAUAGUAUCCACUUCCCGGUUAGCAAUGCUCAAAUUUUAUAUUACUAAAAUAAAAUUUCCAAAUUAAUUUUAACAUUUCAUACAAAGUAAUAACUUUAUUUUAUAGUAAUUAUUAAUAAUUAAUGAAAUCUGCAACUUUAUAAAGAACAGGCAAAUUUAAUGUACGCACUAUUCAAUUUCAAAGGCUUUUAAAUUAGCUACAAGAGAUAAUCAAAACUAAAAAUAAUUAAGAGAUAUAUGUCACAAUGACCUGUAAACUACAACUUGUACAGAGGUUCCUAAACAAUUUUUACACCUCUAUAAAAUUUUUUUACCAAACAACCAACAACAAGGGUCAUAUAACCUUACAAUCCUCCGUUCUGGAGUUUAGCCAAAAUUUUUAAAUUUUUAACAUUAAAAAAAGAUUAAUAUUAAAAAAAAUAAAGUGAUAAGCGUAUCAUAAAAUCUACCGUGCCUGGAUAGAAAUAUUAUAAAAUUAUAACUAAAACUUAGUGUAAAUUUUAUUACUCAUGUUGUCGGACAAAAAGCUGAAAAUUCAAUUCUUUGUGUGUGUGUGUGUAUAUAUAUAUUAAGGUUAUUAUAUUUUUAUGAACAAAAAUUUCUUGUUGGCAUAAAUUAUUUUAAAGGAAAACUUCAAAAACUCCCUCUGUGGUUUCGUGUAUUCUCAUUUUGUGCUACCCUGUGGUUUAAAACGUAUCAAUUUACCCCUGUGGUUUCGUUUUAUCUUUUUGUUAUCAAUUUAUUAUUUUUUUUUUAAAAUCAGUGACAAAGUAAAAUUAAGGAUACUAAAAUGACUAUUCGAUAAAUAUAGAUGGUUAUCUGAAGUUUUUUGUAUAUAAUUAACGAAAUAUUAACGAAAAAGCUUCCGAAAAGAUAAAAAUGAAACCACAGGGGGUUAAAUUGAUACUUUUUAAACCACAGGUAGCAAAGUGAAAUGCACGAAACCACAGAGGGGUUUUGAAGUUUCCCUAUUUUAAAUGAUGAAACUUUCAAAUUAAAUACAUACGCUAAAUAUGAUAAAAUAUUUAAUUUUUUUUAAAAAAUAUUUAAGUUUUGUGAAAUUAUAAAAAACUCCAUUGAGCAUAAAAUGAACGAUCAAAUUAAAAAACUUUCUAAAAUAAAAAAUCAAAAUUUUUAUUUAAUAUCAGAGUUAUAGAUCUCAAUCUAAAUAGUGAAUAAAAUUUUCUAUCUAAAAUUCAACCGAUUUUUAUUUUUUAUAUUUUAAAUUAGAAGCAUCUUAUACCUAUCGAUAAAAAUUAUCAAUUUAAAUUUUUUAAUCGUAAAAAAUAAUAUUAAAAAUUUAAUAAAAUUUAAUUUUUUUUUUUUCGAUUUAAAAUACUUCUAAAUUAUGUUUAACGCAUGACGUCGAUAUCGAAAAUUUUAUUAUCAAAAUGACUUAUGAAUAACAAAAGUUGAUUGUACUCCAAAAAUAAUUAGCCGAGUGCGAAAAUUACAUAAAAUACGCUAACUAAAAUAUAUAUAAAAAAAUAAUAUAUUAAAAUUUUAAAAUUAAAUCAAAUAAAUUAAAAGAAAUGUAUAUUAGAAUCGAAUUUUUGGCAAGAAUAGAUAGUAUACCCAAAAUAAUUCCUAUUAUUACGUAUAUCUUUACUCGAAAAGAGAAAAGAAAAGAAGAGAAAAACGCUUGCCUCAAUUUCGGUGUUUGUGGUUUGGGUUAGAAGGCAAGCUCUUGGAGGGGAGGAGGCGAGCGCCCGAGGUGCUCGGAGGGCGCGAAUCCUGCGGGCAAAUUCGCCCGCUUCACGAUCCUCCUCAUGUUGCUCCUGCAAGUCUGCUGCUGCACCACGCCUUCACGGGCGCGCUUCUCCUCGCUCAUCCCACCUCCUCAUGACAUAAAAUUUCUUGUUGGCAUAAUUAUUUUAAAGGAAAACUUCAAAAACCCUCCCUGUGGUUUCGUGUAUUCUCAUUUUGUCACCCUGUGUUUAAAACGUAUCAUUAUCCCCUGUGGUUUCGUUUUAUCUUUUGUUUAUAAUUUUAUUAUUUUUUUUUUAAAAUCAGUGACAAAGUUAAAAUUAAAGAGAUACUAAAAUGACUAUUCGAUAAAUAUAGAUGGUUAUCUGAAUGUUUUUUGUAUAUAAUUUAACGAAAUAUUAACGAAAAAGCUUCCGAAAAGAUAAAAUGAAACCACAGGGGGUAAAUUGAUACGUUUAAACCACAGGUAGCAAAGUGAGAAUGCACGAAACACAGAGGGGGUUUUUGAAGUUUUUCCUAUUUUAAAUGAUGAAACUUUCAAAUUAAUACAUACGCUAAAUAUGAAAAAAUAUUUAAAUUUUUUUAAAAAUAUUUAUAGUUUUGUGAAAUUAUAAAAACUCCAUUGAGCAUAAAAUGAACGAUCAAAUUAAACUUUCUAAAAUAAAAAAUCAAAAUUUUUAAUUUAAUAUCAGAGUUAUAGAUCUCAAUCUAAAUAGUGAAUAAAAUUUUCUAUCUAAAAUUCAACCGAUUUUUAUUUUUUAUAUUUUAAAUUAGAAGCAUCUUAUACCUAUCGAUAAAAAUUAUCAAUUUUAAAAUUUUUUAAUCGUAAAAAAAAUAAUAUUAAAAAUUAUAAAAUUUAAUUUUUUUCGAUUUUAAAUAUCUCUAAAUGAUGUUUAAGGCAUGAAAUCGUCGAAUCGAAAAUUUUAUUAUCAAAAGUGACUUAUGAAUCAAAAGUUGAUUGUACUCCUAAAAAUAAAUUAGCCGAGUGCGAAAAUUACAUAAAAUACGCUAACUAAAUAUAUAAAAAAAAUAAUAUAUUAAAAUUUUAAAUUAAAUCAAAUAAAUUAAAAGAAAUGGUAUUUAGAAUCGAAUUUUUGCAAGAUAGAUAGUAUACCAAAAUAAUCCUAUUAUUACGUAUAUCUUUACUCGGAAAAAGAGAAAAGAAAAGAAGAGAAAAACGCUUGCCCAAUUUUCGGUGUUUGUGGUUUGGGUUUAGAACGGCAAGCUCUUGGAGUGGAGGAGGCGGUGAGCGCCCGGAGGUGCUCGGAGGGCGCGAAUCCUGCGGCAAAUUCGCCCGCUUCACGAUCUCCUCAUGUUGCUCUGCAAGCUCUGCUGCACCAACUGCUUCACGGCGCGCUUCUCUCGCUCAUCCCACCUCCUCCUCUCUGCCUGCCUCCCCCCUCUUCUCCUCCUCCCCCUCUCCCUCCUCCUCCCUCGCCAAUGGCGCCGACACCGCCGACGAGCCCGAUACCUCCUUCCCCUUGUCCACACGGAGAAUCUCGAGCGUCCGCGACGCCCUCUUCUGGGCGAGCGCGCUCCCGAGGAGCGUGAGCUCGAGGAGGGCGGAGACGACCCCGGCGUCGGCUAUGGCGGCGCGGUCGGCGACGCGGCCCUUGUGCGCCAUCACCAUGAGGACGUACGCCGCCUUGUCCUGGCACCCGGGCGCGUCGCACCACCCCAGCGCGUCCACCAGGAUCGGGAACGCCUCCGCCGCGUUCCGCCCCACCGCGCGCCGCCCCUCCGGCGCCGCCGCCACCAGGUUCGCGAGCGUCGCCAGGGCGCGCUCGCCCGCGCCGGCGUCCGCGUCGCCCGCGGCCGCGAGCAGCGCCGGUACGAGCCCCGCGUCCACCAGCCGCGGCGCGUUCGACGCCGCGAUCGAGAGGUUGAAGAGCGCGCGGAGCGCGUCGGAGCCGCUCGGGUUGGGGGUAGGUUUAGGAUAAGGGUUAGGGUUAGGGUUUUGGAAGGCGCGCACCAGGAAGGGGAUCGCGCCGGAGGAACCGAUGAUCGGCUUGUUCGAGUCGAGGGCGCUCAGGCUGAGGAAGUUCGCGACGAUCGCCUCGGAAACGGAAGCGGAAGCGGAAGGGGAAGGGGAGGCCUCGUCCUCCGGGGAUCCGAUCAUCCCCAGCAUCUUGUGCACGGCGCCGGCCUUCACGAUCGCCGCCUUGUUCCUGAACCAAAAUGUGGAUCGACCGAAACCCUAAGAAAUGUCGUUUGGAUCGAUCUGAGGGGACGAGAGAGGUUAGGGUUAGGGCUCACAUGUCGUUGCCGAUCCCGAGGUUGAGGAGCGCGUAGAGCGCCGCGAUCCGGAGCUCGAGAUCGUCGGCGUCCAGCAUCCCGAUCAGGGGCGGGAUCGCGCCGAGCAUCGCCAGCGUCUCCCGCGCCUCGGCGUCGUCCUUCGCGAGCCGCCGCACCUCCUCCGCCGCCUCGCGCCGCCGAUCUCCGCCGUCGCCGUCGACGUGGAGCCGCCGCACCACGCGCUGGAGCUCCUUCAGAGCCUCGACCUUGCGCCGCGCCUCCUCUUCCGCCGCCGCCGUCGCCGUCGCCGUCGCCUCAGCCGCCUCGUCGGAGCCCGACUCCGACGCCUCCGCCCUGAGGAGCUCCGCGAGCCGAUCGGACCUCGGCCGCGGCAUCGGCGACGAGAACGCCGCCGCCGCCACGGCGCAGCCGCGGCCGCCGCCCCUGCGGCGGCGUGGGCGAGAGACGCCGCCGCACAUGAGCGCCUCGAGGAGCCUGCGGCGGAGGGACGCCGCGGAGAAGAGCGGCCAUAGUCGGAACCCCGCGUCGCCACGAUCGCACUUCGCCAUUGCCGCUCCCCAAUGCAAGAACCUGCUCCCCCUCUGUCGAUCACUACGUCACAUCGUCGGAGGAGGAGGACAAAAAGCAGUGGAUGCGACAAUGGCUUGGAGGAGAAGCCACGGCCGUAGAACACUCGGCUUCUCUUAAACGCAGCUUUUACUUCUCUCUCCAGCAUAUAUAUAACGCGGCGCUAUCCUCGAGGUGCGCUCUCUCUCUCUCUUCUCUCUCUCUCCUCUGAGCUCGUCCUUACGGGACGGGCGACACGAUGGCUCUCGCGCCCUGUCGGUUUUUGAGUGCGUUAAUUGCACUAAAUAUUUCACUUUAGUCCCUCAACACUCUAAUAUUUACAACCGAGUAUAUAUGCUCUUUUUUUUUAUUUUAACUACUAAUUUUUAUGACAAAUUAUUUCAACAAAAUGCUAGGUUCUCGUGUUGAAGUUAUAAUUUAAUUUGAUAAAAUAGAUUUAAUAAAAAUAAUUAAUAGGAUUUGAAAAUUUAAACAUAACACGUAAAAAAUAAUUAUUACUUUCGUCCAAGUAUAGUUAUACAUACUAUUGGUCAUCAGUUUGAAAAUUUAAUUAUUUUUUAGUUUAUUUAUUUUCUGGGUUAAAAAAUAGUAUAUAUUUGAGAGAUUUUGAGAUAGAAGGAUAAAUCUAAAAAAUAAUUAAAUAAAAAUUUAUUAAGACCCUCUUAUUUGUAACUAUUUUUAAAAAAUUAAAUUAAAUAUUUUAAAAUGUAGCUUUAAUAAUUUUAUUAAUUAAUCUAUUUUUUAUGAUCAUUGUUGUUAAAUUUAAUAAAAAUAACCUAUGAAUUUGCUAAAAUCUUUGAUUUAGCCGAUAAAAUUUAUUUAUUUGAAGAGAAUUCAAAAUUAAAGGAGAGUAUCAAUCCAACCAAAAAAAAAAAAAAGUUGAGAUGCGAUAUUCUAAAGUCCUAUAAUUUAGGGGUCUCGGUGCAUGUUUACCAAUAUUAAACUUGUGCUAAUGAUGCAAUUAAAGCGUUUGAGAAAUAUAUUUUUAUAAUUAGGCUUGCAUUUCGAGUAUUAUUAUUGAGGCUUAGAAGUGUGUUAUUAAAUAGUUAAAGUAGUCAGAGAUAAUUUGACUUUUUCAGAGGGCCGGGGAGUUAUUGGGUCGUGCUUUAAAAUAAGCGCAGGUUUAAUAGAGAAAGGCUGACUUAGAAAGUACAAGUUAGGUCAUGGAUUUGGUUCGAUUUACAACAAUGCCACUGUACCUGCCAAUAGUGUAAUACACUAUUAAAUAAAUACUCGCUCUGGCCACGGUGAUUUAUUUAAUAAAGGGAAAACUUCGAAUACCCCCUUGUGGAUUAACUUUUUCUCACUUUGGUACCCUAUACUUUAAAGUGUAUCAAGUUAGUACCUUGAGGUUUCGCACUUUCUCACUUUAGUACCUUGUGGUUUAAAGUGUAUCAAGUUAGUACCCUAUAGUUUCGCACAAUAUUUCAUUAAAAGAAAAAUAAAACUACAGGGUAUUAACUUGAUACAAAAAUAAAAUUAAAGGUGCUAAUUUAAUACAAAAAUAAAACCACAAAAUACUAACUUGAUACACUUUAAACUAUAGGGAACUAAAGUGAGAAAGUGCGAAACCACACGAUACUAACUUGAUACACUUUAAAUCAUAGGAUACUAAAAUGAAAAAGUACGAAACCACAAUGGGGUUUUUGAAGUUUUUCCUUUAAUAAAUGAUCUGAAUACGAGUUAAAUUUUUCGACUUGAAAAUUUAAUAAGUAGAACAUAAGUUGAGAUCAGUUCGCUUAUUUUCGACUCGAUAUAGCUCGAAUAUAUAUUUAUUUUUGCUUUUUAAAUUUUUAUCCCAAUCUGAAUAUAAAGAGAUUUAUAUUUUGUAAAUUUAAUUAUUAGAUUAAGAUUUUAAUUUUCUACAUUUUUUUAAACUCAUAUAAUAAUAAAGCCGGUAAUUUAAUUUGUUGUUCGCAAGCUAGCUUGUAUUCGACUCAUUAAUAAAUAAGUCGAACACGAGUUAGAUUUUUCAGUUCGAAAUUUUAACAAGCCAAUUAGUGUGUGGCUCGUUUAAUAAACGAGCGAACAUGAAUUGGCUCUAGCUCAUGUUUAACGGUCGUAUCUGCAGGGAUAAAAAUUAGUAAAAUAUUACCUAUACAUCUUUUAUAAUGUGUAUAUCUUAUAUCGAUGACAUUUUUUUAGUAAAUAAUUUUUUUUUUUAGAGAAAAGUAGCAUGCUAUUUGUUUUAUUUAUUUCAUUUAGAAAUAAAUAUAGCUAGAAAUAUAAAUCAGUUAGAAUUCGAAUUUAGAAUCUUGGGUGAUUUUUUGCCACUUACGCUAGAAACAAUGGGUUUAGUAAAAAAUUGUUAGAUAGGAAAAAAUUAGGACAUAUAUUGUAUACCUGCAUGAUAGGUGUAUAGAUAGUAUUGCUCUAAAAAUUCUAUAAGAUCAGCAUCAAACUAAAAUACGGUGAAGCUGGAUAUAUGUCAUGCACGCGUUUCCGGGAACGAGUACUAUUAUUUGCGAGUACCAAACAAAAUAUUUGAAAAUAAAGAGAUGAAUAAGAUCUGAUUCUUCUUUUUAUUUUCGAAUCAAACCGGGGCUAAAGAAUAAAAAUUAAUAAUAAUAGCAAACUAGGCUUGAGCAAUUAAUUUUUAUAAUUCAAAAUAUGACUAUAUUGUACGGACACGAGGGUGGGGGGCAGAGUUAUUGUUAUGCGGACGGUGCGAUGGACGGGGAAAUGGGAACCGGAUUGUAUGGNGACAGUAACAAUAAUAAAUAUUAUUAUUACUAUUUUUUUUUUUUUCUUGAGAUGGUGUGUGGUCAAGCGUGGUGGAGACCAUAGUUAGUUAGUGGAGAGUCUGGAGACUUGGAGUGGGUGGGGCCCGAGGUAUGGUGUUAAAUUGAUAAUUAAUUACAGAUUGGUCCUUAAAUUUUUCAGAUUUUUCAAUUCAGAUUUUUUUUUAUAAUCAUAUUACAAAUAUUUAUUAUGAAUUUCAAUGGAAUCACUUUUGACAAAAAGUUAUUAUCACUCGGCAAAAUCUAGAGCUUCCGCGGCAUUAAUUUGAUAAAUAUUGGUUAAUACUAACGGAGUAAUUUGGCUAAAUUACAAAAAAAUUUCUGUCAAUACCGAUUUUUUUAUUUUUUUUUGUCAUUCAAAAAUCUAUAAUUUGCUCUGUUAUAAAAUAAAAAUAUUUAUAUGAGAAUACAUUGUGACAAGAUAAUCAAAUUGUCCUCAACUUCUUCGGGUUGGGUGUGGACAGAGGGUGGACGAGGGCGAGAGUGAGGCGGCGGAGGCGAGCGAGAUCGUGUGUGUGGACAUGGAUAGAGAUGUAGGUGAGGGCAAAGUGGCGAAGGGCGAGGUGGUGCGAUCGAGAUCGGAGAGGAAGGAUGAGGGUUUCAAGAAUAUUUUGGGUAUAAAAAAUAUGAUAUAAACAUAAUCCAAACAGUACUGUAACGGAACACUUACGGCGGGUCAAAAUGAACAUUUUUUAUUUAAUAAAGAGACAAAAUGUAGGUUGAGAGAUUUUCUGUAAUUUAGCCUAGUAGUUUUUGUUAAAAUAAAUAUUUUUGAAUACUAAAUAUUAAGAAUAUGAUCUGAAAAAGUUGGCAAUGGAAAAUAAAAUGAUAAUAAAGUUGUGGUACAAUAAACUCUUUAAAUUUUAAAAAACACCAAGUCUCUAUUUAAAAAAGCUUAUAAUUUCUGCAAAAUCUUGUCGGAUUGUUGGCACUAACCACAACUCAAUUAAAACGUAACACUUUCCACGAAUCUCAAUUGUGAUUUGGUUUAACCAGCCUCACGUUACUCCGAAUAUAACUCGACCCAAUAUAGCCUUCUGCCACACAUCAAAAUGCUAGGGCGCAAAUUCAUAGCAUGCGAAAAUUAAAUCCGCGAUCUCUAAUUCUGAUACUACUUAUAAAAUUAUUGGCGCUAAUUAUUAACCCCAAAAGCUCAAACUAUUAGAAAUAUACUACCAACUUAGUUAAAACGUAUAGAUGCAACGCCCAUGAGUCUCUAUUAUGACUUGAUUCAAAUAAUCUCACAUUAUUUUGAAUAUGACUCGGCCCAUUCUAGCCCACGUCAUUUUGAACUUAACUCUGCUAAUCUGACUUUCCGCCGUAAGUCAGAAUGUUGGCUCCUUUAAGACGACACACCUUAUCUAAAAAAUUAUAGAAUUUACUAACCUAUUUUAAAUUUUAGAUAAAAAGAAUAAUACCACAAGUAAAAUAUAGAAGGCUUUUAGCAAACUACAUUAGAUAGUGUCAGUUUAUUUUUAACUAUUUGAGAGUUUUCUUGAAUGAUCGUUACGUGAUUUGAAUAGUGUGACUAGCGUAAGUAUGGGAUCAAUCAAUUGGAUAAAAUUGUAUUUUACGGCAUAAUUUUUAAUAUACAUUUGUAUGCAUAAAUCAGUGUCGGUGCUACUACUUUUUUGCCGCAGUGCUGAGCUGUACGCUUGUACCUAUGUUCCGAAUAGUCAACAGCUGUUGACUUUUAUUAUGUGAAUCUGGAGAUUAGAUCUAUCAAUUUUUUAUUAAAUCAUUGUUCCGUUGGGUAGCGUUUGAUUCGAGAAUAAGGAGAAAAUAAGCCCUCAUUCCCCCUUUGUUCCCAAACGUGAUAUUUGGUAUUCAGGAACAGCAGUUCCGGAAAUUUCAAGAACAAUAGUUCCAGAGUUUCAAGAACCCUUUUUCUAAAAUAAGCUUGUUCCUUAAUGAGAACAAAAUUAAUUAAAAUCUAAAUUUAAUUUUAAUUAACCAGUAAAUUAUUAAUUAAUCUAAUUAAUAUAUUUAAAUUAAUAUUUAUUAUUUUAAUAAUUUAUUAAUUUAUUAAUUUAUUAUUUAUAAUUAAUUAAUAAUAAUUAGAUAAUUAUUAUAAUUAAUUUAUUAUUAUUUAUAAUUAUUUAUUAAUAAUUAAUAAUAUUUAUUGUUAUUUAUUAAUAAUUAUUAAUAAUUAUUAUCCUUAAUAAUUAGAUAAUCGAAAGUAUUAUUAAUUUAUUAUUUAUAAUUAAUUAUUAAUAAUUAGGUAAUUAUUAUUAUUAAUUUAUUACUAGUAAUUAAUUAUUAAUAAUUAUUAUUUACUAAUAAAUAUUAAUUAUUAUUAUUAUUUAUUAAUAAAUAUUAAUAAUUAUUAUUAUUAAUAAUUAGAUAAUCGAUAUUAUUAUUAAUAAAAAUUAGAUAAUCGAUAUUAUUAUUAAUUUAUUAUUAAUAAUUAAUUAAUAAUAAUAAUUAAUAAUUAUUAUUAUUUUAUUAAUAAUUAUCAAUUAUUAUUAUUAUUAAUUAGAUAUUCAAUAUUAUUAAUUUAUUAUUUAUUAAUUAAUUAUUAAUAAUUAUUAAUACUUAUUAUUAUUUAUAAUUAAUUUAUUAAUAAUUAAUUUAUUAUUUAUUUUUAAGUAAUAUUUUGAUGUUAAUUAAUUACAUAAUAUAAUUUUAAUUUUAAAUUAUAACUCUUAUUCCUCUUAUUACAAUUUAACCAUCCAAAUACUAUUUACCUUAUUACUAGAAACAACCCAAUUUUCAUCUAAACGCAAAAUUGGUCUAGUUCCUGCUUAUAUCUGAACUUGUACCUAUCCCUGAAACUAGCAGUUCUUACUUAUACCCGAACCAAACGCAGCCGAAAUUCGAGUUUGGUUCGGAAACGAGAGGAAUAAAUUCUUGUUCCCUCUUUAUUUCCGCAUGUAAUUUUUAGCAUUGAAAAAUAAUAGUUCUCAUAUUUCUAAAAUAAAUUGGUAUAAUUCGGUAUAAAUUUGAAAUUGUUGUUCCAUCCUUUUUUCUAAAACAAACAUAUUUCCAAAUGAAAAUAAGAUCAAUUAAAAUUAAAUUUUAAUUUUAAUUAUAAUAUUAAAUUAUUAUUUAAUCUAAUUAAUAUAUUUAAAUCAUUAUCCAAUUGCUUUAAAUAAUAAAACAAUUAAUUAAUUUAUUAUUUCUAAAUAAUUAGCUAAUUAAUUAUUAAUAAUUUAAUAUGUAAAUUAAUAUUUAUAUUGAUCAGCCAUUAAUUUUUUUAUUAUCUAAUUAAUUUUUUUACGAGUUAUCAAAUUAAUAUAAUUUACUAACUAAUUAAAAAGUUAAAUUAUUUUUAUAUUAAAUUAAUUAAUUAAUAUAUUUUUAUUAUUUUAUACAAUAUUCAUACUUUCAUUCGUUAGUUUAUUCAAUUAUUCCAAUCUAACCAUCNUUUCGAACCAAACGGAAGCUAAAGAAUAAAAAUUAAUAAUAAUAGCAAACUAGGCUUAAGCAAUUAAUUUUUAUAAUUCAAAAUAUAACUAUAUUGUACGGACACGAGGGUAGGGGGCAGAGUUAUUAUUAUGCGGACGGUGCGAUGGACGGGGAAAUGGGAACCGGAUUGUAUGGGGACUUUUUUUUUUUUUUAUUGAGAUAGUAUGGGGUCAAGCGUGGUGGAGACCAUAGUUAGUUAGUGGAGAGUCUGGAGACUUCGAGUGGGUGGGGCCCGAGGUUGCCCUGUUAAAUUGAUAAUUAAUUACAGAUUGGUCCUUAAAUUUCUCAGAAAUUUUAAUUCAGAUCUUUUUUAUUAUAAUCAUAUUACAAAUAUUUAUUAUGAAUUUCAAUGGAAUCACUUUUGACAAAAAGUUAUUAUCACUUGGCAAAAUCUGGCGCUUCCGCGGCAUUAAUUUGAUAAAUUUGAUAAAUAUUGGUUAAUGCUAACGGAGUAGUUUGGCUAAAUUACAAAAAAUUUUCUGUCAAUACCAGCUUUUUUAUUUUUUUGUCAUUUAAAAAUCUACAAUUUACUCUGUUAUAAAAUUAAAAUAUUUAUAUAAGAAUAUACUGUGACAAAAUAAUUAAAUUGUCCUCAACUUCUUCGGGUUGGGUGUGGACAGAGGGUGGACGAGGGCGAGAGUGGGGCGACGGAGGUGAGCGAGGACGUGUGUGUGGACAUGGACAGAGAGGUGGGUGAGGGCCAGGCGGCGAAGGGCGAGGUGGUGCGAUCGAGAUCGGUGAGGAAGGAUGAGGAUUUUAAGGAUAUUUUGGGUAUAAAAAAUGUGAUAUAAACAGAAUCCAAACGGUACUCUAACUGAACACUUACGGCGGGUCAAAGUGAACAUUUUUUAUUUUAUAAAGAAAUAAAAUGUAGGUUGAGAAGUUUCUGUAAUUUAGCCUAGUAGUUUUUGUUAAAAUAAAUAUUUUUGAAUACUAAAAAUUAUGAAUAUGAUCUGAAAAAGUUGGCAAUGGAAAAUAAAAUGAUAAUAAAGUUGUGGUACAAAAACUCUUAAAUUUUAAAAAACACCAAGUCUAUAUUUAAAAAAGCUUAUAAUUUUUGCAAAAUCUUGUCGGAUCUUUGGCACUAACCACAACUCAAUUAAAACGUAACACCUUCCACGUAUCUCAAUUGUGAUUUGGUUCAACCAGCCUCACGUUACUUCGAAUAUAACUCGACCCAAUAUAGCCUCCUGCCACACAUCAAAAUGCUAGGGCGCAAAUUCACAGCAUGCGAAAAUUAAAUCCGUGAUCUCUAAUUCUAAUACUACUUAUAAAAUUAUUUGUGCUAAUUAUUAACCCCAAAAGCUCAAACUAUUAGAAAUAUACGACCAACUUAGUUAAAGCGUACAGAUACAACAUCCGUGAGUCUCUAUUAUGACUUGGUUUAAACAAUCUCACAUUAUUUCGAAUAUGACUCAGCCCAUUCUAGCCCACGCCAUUUUGAACGUAACUUUGCUAACCUGACUUUCCGCGCACAGGUCAGAAUGCUGGCUCCUUUCAAACGACACACCUUAUCUAAAAAAUUAUAGAAUUUACUAACCUAUUUUAAAUUUUAGAUAAAAAGAAUAAUACCACAAGUAAAAUAUAGAAGGCUUUUAGCAAACUACAUUAGAUAGUGUCAGUUUAUUUUUAACUAUUUGAGAGUUUUUUUGAAUGAUCGUUACGUGAUUUGAAUAGUAUAUAUAUAUUUUUCGAGAGAUAGAUAGCACACUAUUCGCUUCAUUUAUUUCAUUUAGAAAUAAAUUUAGCUAGAAAUAUAAAUCAACUAGGAUUCGAAUUUGGACCUCGGGUACCAAUCAUCAAAUUUUUUGUCACUUCUCUAGGGUCGGUGUGAUUUGAAUAGUGUUACUAGCGUAAGUAUGGGAUCAAUCAAUUAGAUAAAAUUGUAUUUUACCGCAUAAUUUUUAAUAUACAUUUGUAUGCAUAAAUCAGUGUCGGUGCUAUUACUUGUUUGCUGCAGUGCUGAGCUGGACGCUUCUAGCGGUGUUCCGAAUAGUCAACAGCUGUUGACUUUUAUUAUGUGAUUCUGGAGAUUAGAUCUAUCAAUUUUUUAUUAAAGCAUUGUUCCGUUCCGUAGCGUUUGGUUCGAAAACAAGGGCGGAAUAAGCCCUCAUUUCCUCGUUGUUUCCAAGCAUGAUGUUUGAUAUUUGGGAACAGUAGUUCUAAAGUUUCAAAAAUAAGCCGGUAGAAAGUUGGAACUGUUGUUCCACUUUUUUCUUAAAACAAACUUGUUCCUUAAUGAGAACAAAAUUAAUUAAAAUCUAAUUUUAAUUUUAAUGAUAGUAAAAUAUUAAUUAAUCUAAUUAAUAUAUUUAAAUUAAUAUUUAUUACUUUAAUAAUUUAUUUAUUUAUUUAUUUAUUAUUUAUAAUUAAUUAAUAAUAAUUAGUUAAUUAUUAUAAUUAAUUUAUUAUUAUUUAUUAAUAAUUAUUAAUAAUUAUUAUCCUUAAUAAUUAGAUAAUCGAUAGUAUUAUUAAUUUAUUAUUUAUAAUUAAUUAUUAAUAAUUAGAUAAUUAUUAUUAAUUAAUUUAUUACUUAUAAUUAAUUAUUAAUAUUAUUAUUUAAUUAUUAAUUAAUAAUAAAAUAAAAUAAUUAUUCUUAUUAAUUAGAUAAUCGAUAUUAUUAGUAAUUUAUUAUUAAUAAUUAAUAAUUAAAUAAUAAUUAUUAUUUAUUAAUAAUGAUUUAUAAUUAAUUAUUAAUAAUUAGAUAAUUAUUUUUAAUUAAUUUAUUACUUAUAAAUAAUUAUUAAUAGUUAUUAAUAAUUAAUUAAUUAAGUAAUAAUUAUUAAUAAUUUAUUAAUAAUUAAUUAAUUUAUUACUUAUAAAUAAUUAUAAAUAAUUAAUAAUAAUUAAUUAUUAAUAAUAAUUAAUAAUUAUUAUUAUUUAUAAUUAUUUAUUAAUAAUUUAUUUGUUAUUUAUUUUUAAGCAAUAUUUUGAUGUUAAUUAAUUAGAUAAUAUAAUUUUAAUUUCAAAUUAUAACUCUUAUUCCUAUUAUUCCAAUCUAACCAUUCCAAUACUGUUUAUUUUAUUACCAUGAAUGACCUAAUUUUUAUCUAAAAUUAAAAUUGGUUUAGAUCCUGCUUAUAUCUGAAUCUGUAUUUAUCCUUGAAAUAAGCAAUUCUUACUUAUACUCAAACAAACGUAGUCGCGGGAAUAAAAGAGCGAAUAAGAAAAAUAAAGGUCUUACUUCACUCCUUAUUUUUAAAUAAAAAGUUUAUUCUUCUCUUAAUGGAUUAUUUAAGGAUAAUUUAUGAUAACCUGUUAAAUGAGUGAAAUUGUUUCUCAUCUUAUAUUUAUAUACUAAUUAAUUAUAAAAUAAAAUAUUACCAAACUAAUACAAUAACUAGUGGUUGAGGGUGGUAGCAUCAAACUCUAAUAACCCAGUGAACAAUUACCCAACUCACUUCUGAUAAUAAAACGAUGUUUAUAAAUUAUCAUAGAGAUAUUUUAUAGAGAUAUAUUAUGUAGAGUUAGACUGAAAUAUUAUCGGUAGCAAACGAACUCAUUGUCACCAUUUAUUUUCGAUAAUAGAGCCUUCAAAUCGAUGAUCGAUAUCGUUAAACAUAAUCUAUACCAUUUGAAAUAUUUUGAAACCAAAUUUUAAAUUUUUUCGACAUUAUUGACCUAAUGAUCAAAGGGUUUCAAAAUUUAUAAUUUUAAUAGUAGAUAGAGGCGUUUUCUCGUUUAACAGUGUAAAACUAUCCAAAUCAAUUAAAUUUUGGUUAAAAGAUUCUUUAAACUAUUUAAAAUAAAAUCUGUACUCUUAAUCUUGAUUACAAAAUUUAUAUCAUCACUUUUUAGAGGAUAUUUAUUUUAGCUGUUCAUUUUUACGUCCACUUGAUGGACAAGAGAACAAUAUCGAAAAAAUAUAAAAUUUGAUUUCUAGAUACUUCAAGUGGUAUAGAUAAUAUUCAACGGUGCAGAUCGUCGAUUUGAGGCUUAUCAUCGAAACAAAUCAGUGGCAAUGGAGCACGUUUGCUACCGAUAGUAUUCCAGCUCAACUCAUAUUACAUAAACGUAUUAUACAAAAUAGUAUAAUAGGUACAGCUACUGCUGUAACCUAAUAGUUCAACAUCUCGUGAAAAAAAAACUUAUACUUAAAAAUAUAUGAACUAAAAAUUUUUAUAUUAAUUAAUAAUUGAGUUUAAGCAUUUUUGACUUGAAUCGUAAUAUUUUGUACAGGACGAGAACACAUAAAUUUGGGCUUUGGGAUGAACACGAGCCGGAUUUCACAUAAUUCCAAAAAAACCCAAAAGUAUUUUGGGCUUAGAUUUUUAGGCCCAGCUCAAGACCCACUCACGUCUCACGCGCGACGUUAUCCAAAUGGAACAGCGUAACUGCCCUCUCGAAAUAUCCUCCAGGAGCCCAUCUAAUCGGACGACACGUGUGCGUCAAGUUUCGGGCAUAACCGACUCCGGCGGAUCACUGUACCCACAGUAUCCAUCUCCUGUUCUCGUUCUCCUUUCCCGGCCCUUCCCCCGCUCUCUCGCGUCGACCUCUCUCCUUCGCCCCCUCUCCGCCACCAUGGGAGCUUAGCACCCCACCCACCCGGCUCCGUGGACUCCCAAACCCUAAUCCGUCCCNAUUAUUUAAGAAUAAUUUAUGAUAACAUGUUAAAAGAGUGAAAUUGUUUCUCAUCUUAUAUUUAUAUACUAAUUAAUUAUAAAAUAAAAUAUUACCAAUUAAUUUAUUAUAUAUUAGUUUUUUUUAUUAAUUAACUAGAUAAAUACUUAAUCACUUGCUUUAUUGCUAUAAUAAAUAUUUAAUUAACUAUUUGAGUAAUUACUUUAUUAUUUAUAUCUAAUAAGCUAAUUAAAAUUUUAAUUAUUUAGUGUGCUUAUGCAAUAACUAGUGGUUGAGGGUGGUAGCAUCAAACUCUAAUAACCCAGUGAACAAUUACCCAACUCACUUCUGAUUAUAAAACGAUGUUUAUAAAUUAUCAUAGAGAUAUUUUAUAGAGAUAUAUUAUGUAGAGUUUGGCUGAAAUAUUAUCGGUAGCAAACGAACUCAUUGCCACCCAUUUAUUUUCGAUGAUAGAGCCUUCAAAUCGAUGAUCGAUAUCGUUAAACAUAAUCUAUACCAUUUGAAAUAUUUUGAAACCAAAUUUUAAAUAUUUUCGACAUUAUUGACCUAAUGAUCAAAGGGUUUCAAAAUUUUUAAUUUUAAUAGUAGAUAUGAAGCAUUUUCUCGUUUAACAGUAUAAAACUAUCCAAAUCAAUUUAAUUUUGGUUAAAAAAUUCUUUAGACUAUUUAAAAUAAAAUCUGUACUCUCAAUCUUGAUUACAAAAUUUAUAUCAUCACUUUUUAGAGGAUAUUUAUUUUUAGCUGUUCAUUUUUACGUCCACUUGAUGGACAAGAGGACAAUAUCGAAAAAACAUAAAAUUUGAUUUUUAGAUACUUCAAGUAGUAUAGAUAAUAUUCAACGGUACAGAUCGUCGAUUUGAAUGCUUCAUCAUCGAAACAAAUCAGUGGCAAUAGGGCACGUUUGCUACCGAUAGUAUUCCAGCUCAACUCAUAUUACAUAAACGUAUUAUACAAAAUAGUAUAAUAGGUACAGCUACUGUAACCUAAUAGUUCAACAUCUCAUGAAAAAAACUUAUAAUUAAAAAUAUAUGAACUAAAAAUUUUUAUAUUAAUUAAUAAUUGAGUUUAAGCAUUUUUGACUUGAAUCGUAAUAUUUUGUACAGGACGAGAACACAUAAAUUUGGGCUUUGGGUUGAACACGAGCCGGAUUUCACAUAAUUCCAAAAACAAACCCAAAAGUAUUUUGGGCUUAGAUUUUUAGGCCCAGCUCAAGACCCACUCACGCGCGACGUUAUCCAAAUGGAACAGCGUAACUACCCUCUCGAAAUAUCCUCCAGGAGCCCAUCUAAUCGGACGACACGUGUGCGUCAAGUUUCGGGCAUAACCGACUCCGGCGGAUCACUGUACCCACAGUAUCCAUUUCCUGUUCUCGUUCUCCUUUCCCGGCCCUUCCCCGCUCUCUCGCGUCGACCUCUCUCCUUCGCCCCUUCUCCGCCACCAUGGGAGCUUAGCACCCCACCCCCGGCUCCGUGGACUCCCAAACCCUAAUCCNCCCCCCCCCCCCCCCGAUCCAUCGUCGUCCCCGAUUUGGUAGCUAGGGUUUAGAUCGGAGAUCCGCUAGGGUUUUUCCGAUGUCGUCGAUCCUGCCGAAGAGCGAGAGCGUGGAGAUCCGCGAGGUGUGGCGCGGGAACCUGGAGGCGGAGUUCGCGCUGAUCCGCGAGAUCGUCGACGAGUUCCCGUACGUGGCGAUGGACACGGAGUUCCCCGGGGUGGUGAUCCGCCCCCUCGGCACCUUCCGGUCGAGCUCCGAGUUCAACUACGCCACGCUGAAGGCGAACGUCGACACCCUGAAGCUGAUCCAGCUCGGGCUCACCUUCUCCGACGAGCGCGGCAACCUCCCAGCCUGCGGCGCCGGGCGGCGCGGCUGCGUGUGGCAGUUCAACUUCCGCGAGUUCGACGCGCGCCGCGACGCCUUCGCCGCCGACUCCAUCGACCUCCUCCGCCACAGCGGCAUCGACCUCGCCCGCAACGCCGAGGACGGCGUCGACGCCGCCCGCUUCGCCGAGCUGCUCAUGUCCUCCGGCGUCGUGCUCGACGACGCCGUGCGCUGGGUCACCUUCCACAGCGGCUACGACUUCGGCUACCUCCUCAAGCUCCUCACCUGCCGCAAGCUCCCGGAGACGCAGGCCGGGUUCUUCGCCCUCAUCCGGAUCUACUUCCCCACGGUAUACGACAUCAAACACCUCAUGAAGUUCUGUAACAGCCUCCACGGUGGGCUCAACAAGCUCGCCGAGCUGCUCGACGUCGAGCGCGUCGGAGUCUGCCACCAGGCCGGCUCCGACAGCCUCCUCACUUCCUGCACCUUCAGGAAGCUCAGGGAGUCCUUCUUUAACGGCUCCACCGAGAGAUAUGCCGGCGUCUUGUACGGCCUCGGUGUCGAGAACGGUCUCGAGAACGGUCUGGAUACCGCUCAUUGAGUAAGAAUAAUGAUAAUAAUCAUCAUCAUCAUAAUGAAAAAAAAAAAGAAAUUGGUUUGGUGAAUUGUGUUGGUUGAUGCUUUCUCGUGUGAUCUGCUUGAUUGGUGUUGUGUUUCUAGUUACUUACCAUGUUUCUGAAGUUGAUUUAACAUUGAUUGUUAAAUCAACCAUACCAUACUUCGGUUCUUUGUGAUCUCCACGACGGUAUGAAACUUUGUUGGGAUCUUCCUCUCCUGAUUGUAGUUUUUGAUACCAAUUGUUAGAUUUAACAAAUAAUCCUAACAUAUCCGGAUCGUUCUAGGACUCGGUGGGGUAAUCGUAACAAGCUUAAACAGUAAUAUGUUUCCCCUCCUUUGAGAGGCUCUUCAUCCACUGCCGUUUGUUUCGGAGGUGGUGUAUAUCUUAUUUGAUUUUGCUGCAUGUUCAGAAUUUAAUUAUGAUGACCGGAAAAAUGAUUCUUUUUUACUCUCAUCUUAUCUUCAAUAAGCACUAUUGAAUAUUCUUGAUGGCAGUUUAGGGAUUUUGCUCAGGUAAAUUGAAUUCUGUGGAUAGAUUUAUAAGUUGUUGUUCUUCAGAAUUUUACAUCAUAGCGCAUGCUAAUUGUUUUUGGUAGCUUAGCUUUACAAAAUUGGAUCCUUAGAAUUAUUGUAGUCUCAUUUGAAGGAGAAAAAAUGUGUCUGUUUAGUACUAAAUGUGAUCAAGUUUGGCCAUGAUGUUCCUGUCACAUUUGAUUAACCGAGUAGAAUAGGUGGAAUUCAUAUAAUAGCCUACUGAUCUGAUGUACUUAUUAUCGUGUUAGCAACUCUAGAAAGGAUGUUUCUUAUUCGAAUUAUUAUGAGAACUUUGAUAAAUGCAUGUUGGUGGAUAUCACUAUCCUCAUAAAUCUACCUAAAUGCUAAUGGAACGAUGGUGUUUGUGAGGCCUUGCAUCCUAGGGAGUCACCCAUCCUAGAACUGUUUUAAUCCUAGCACGCUUAACUUUUUUAACCUCUUGAGCCUAAUCACUGUCCAAAUGCUAUAGCCGACGGGUUACGAGAUUUAGCUCUAUUUUAUCUCAUAUAUAGAACUAUUCUAAAUACUGGGGGUGGCACGGUUUUGCACUCGUAAAUAGAUACCCCUUUUGUAUUCCGACAUCUGCUUUACUCUCUAGUAGUUCGGUCCUUAACAUAGAGCUAUGAAAUUGAUAUUCCUAACUUCCAUUUGGUCCUCGAACUUGCCAUUGAAUUUCGAAUAAAUUGUGAACGUCAUAAUAAUUUGUCUUGUUAGAAAUACUGUAAAUAACAAUCCAUUUGUCUUGCUGUAUUGGCCUUCUUCAUUUUCUAUUUUUAAAUGUGCUAUGUGUUUCUCACAUGCUUAAUUUCAAUGACAAGUUUUCGAAGUAGCAAUCCUAGGUAACAAAGUGCUAAAUUUUGAACAAAGGGAAAAAUCAGAUAUUAGAUAUACAUCAAAGUUUUUCUUUCUAAUCUUAACUGUAGUAGUUAUAUCGGCAAAAAUAUGACCAGAGCAGUAGUUAUAGCGACAAAAAUAAGACCAAAGUGUAGUAAGUUUAAAAAGAAAAUCAUGAAGUAUGCUACUGAAGUCCAAUUUAGCUUUUAGUUACCACUUCAGAAUGAUGAAAGAACAACUAUUGAUGGAUAAGAACUACAUAAGUGGGAGUAUCUUUCAUACCCUAGUUUUAUAGUCCUCUGUGAUGGGAGUAUAUAGAGCUACAGCAAUUUGGCAAGAAUUUUGAUAUAUACUUCUCAGAUUUAGAAGAAGUUUUACUGGACAAAUUUCAGAUGGAUGAUUCAAUUGCUAGGAAAUAUAGAAUAUAGAAUUUAGAAGUUUGUGUGUUUUAUACAUGUAGUAUUCAUUUAACUAUGUGGAAUGAGCUGACUCCAAUUUGAAAGCGAGAUUCAAAUAGGUAUUCAUUUUCUACUGUUAUUGUCAUCUUUAGUUUGAUGUAAAUUGACUUUCUCUUGGUCAGGAUUUGAGGAUAUGGAUUCUGUGUAAGCUUAAUUGCAUUCUUCGUGUGUAUUGCUUGUUCUGCUUCUUCCUUGUGUCGCCUAACACGGGAACAAGUGACAGUUCAAACAAACUUUGCUGUGCAGAAUUAAGACGACAUUUUUACACCUGCUUCAUGGUAAAUUUGGGAUUACAUUUUGUUUUCGUGAUUGUGAUUCAGAUGCAUCGUGCUUUUUUUCUUUUCUUUUCUUUUUUUUUUUGUUUUCUUUUCCCAGAAUGAAGGCAGAUCAUGCCCAUUAGAGUUCAAUGAAAUCUUUGGUUCAUUCAAAAUCCAUGUUCAAAUGGGUUAAUGAAAUGUAUAGAAUUAUGGAAACACUGGAGAAUGCCAAAUUGGGCCGAGUACAUGUUCUAUUUUUGUUAUUUUUGUUGUUAGUUUGGCCUUGAAUUAGAGACAUCACUGAUUCCGAGCUCUCUCAAAUAUUCACUUUGUGGUUGCACGUGAAAAUACACAUGCAACUGUAAUAAUCAAAUAAGGCGCUAUUUAUAGUGCACUUUAAUUUCUCAAUUUGAAAGCACGUAUAUGUAAAAUUUAAGGUGACUUAUUUAAUUUGGUUUGAUUUUAAUAAGUAUAUAGUAAAUAGUGUAGAGCUAGUAUAAAGUAGUUGGUGCUUUCAAUUUUUUAGCCCUUAGAUUAAAGAUUCUACGGUUGGGAUGAUAGCGGUCCCUUUAGAGUUGAGUGGUCCCCCAGGAUUGAGUAGUCCCAUUGGUUAAUAAUAUUAAUCCAACGGUUAGAAAUGAUCAAUGGGGUUGAUUUAAGAGCUAAAAAAUCGGAAGCGCUAACUAUUUUAUGCUUCCGAUAGUAUAGUAGCUCUACUCUAAUAAAUAAAUCCAUAUAUAUAUAUAUAUAUAUAUAUAUAGAGAGAGAGAGAGAGAGAGAGAGAGAGAGAGAGAGAGAGUAGGGCUACUAUACUCUUGAGUAUAGAGCUCUUCGUAUUCAUAAGUUGUUUUUGGUGAUGGAGCUUCUGAAUUGACGAUCCACUUCGUUAAAUAUGAUCUAGAGUAUUUGAAACUUUUAGAAAAUAAAUUUUGUAUUUUUUUUUAAUCAUAAUAAAGUUUAUCAAGCAGGCAUAAAAUGAACCGUCAAAAUCGAACGACGUUCUAAAAAUGAAUGAUCUGAUCCUUCAAUUUAAGAUAGAGUUAUUGAUCUUUAUGUAGAUAGUGAAUAGAAUUUUUUAUGAAAAAUUCAGCUUAUUCUAAUUCUUUUAUAUGGUUAAACUAGCAAGUAUUUCAUACCGGUCGUUAAAAAUUAUUAAUUUUGUGAUUUUUUGAUUGUAGUGUAAAUAAUAUUGAAAAAUUAUGAAAUUUGAUUUUAGAAAUUUUAAAUAUUUUAGAUAAUGUUUAACGGUAUCGAUCAUCGAUUCAGAAGUUCUAUCAUCGAAAAUGAUUUAUAAGUACGAGGGUAAUCAUGCUUAUAAGAGUAUAGCAGUCGGACUUUAUAUAUAUAUAUAUAUAUAUAUAUAUAUAUGAGUCAAGUUCAAAUGACAUAUGUGUAAUGGUGAACAGUGUUACACUCUUUUUGGGCCGUAGAUCUAAAUAAAAUCCAAGGAUCCAGCAAUGGCAACUUUUUUAACUUGUCAUUGAGUUGAGAUCAAAUAGUUGUCAUAUCUCUCACCAUCACUUUAAUGCCUGACGCGAUCUCGCACUAGCACACACACACACACACACUCUCUCUCUCUCUCUCUCUCUCUCUCUCUCUCUUCCCAAUAUCUUUUGGUGCAUGCAUUCAUGAUUUUUUUUUUCUCCUUCUUGGCCUGAACUUUGCAUCUCUAUACUCCUUUCACUUACUCGCAACAUACAUUAGAAGGGAUAAAGAAUCUGAUGCCUUAACCAUUUCUCUAUACAACAUGUAUGGUAAAUUAACUAGACACUUUUUUCUUUCCUUUCUUUUUUAAUUUUGUGGCAAUAGAUAUUACGGAUUUUUUUUGUUUUAUAUUUAAAGAAAUUUUUUGUCUGUUUAUAGUUACUAAAAUUUUUAACCUAUUCUCGUUAUUUUAUAUGCAUUAUCAAUUAAAGUUUCUUUUUCUAAGAUUUAACUAAAUUAGAUAACUAAAAGUAACUAAACAAAAUAUUGCCAUUUUAAAAUAUCCGGUAAUGUUUUCUUUUUAUUUUGGCAUCCUUUAAUUUUAAUUAAUUAUUUGAUUUAGUUAAUUUUUAGAUCAAAUGGGAUUUAUAAAAAAUUAGCUGUUUGUUGGUUAUUAUGUCAUCAUCAUUUAAAAAUUUCAUAAUUCUAUCAACUGCAAAGUGUCUAAUAAUUAAAUAAUAGAGUUACAUCCAAACUUAGCAAAAUAUCUCUAUACAUUUUACCUUUUUUCUCCUUUCAUGAUGUUCUAUCUUUCAUUGAAUUACUUGUUUAACCACAUGAAAUUAUUUUGUAUUGUGUUUUAUUUUAUUUUAUUUUUUUUCUGUUGAGCUUAUGUAUGUGUGUUCUUGUUGGAUGUUCUUUUCUAAAUAAUUCAUAGUUUGCAAAAGUUUACUUUGGAACUUUUUUGUCCAGAACAGUGGCUAAAUGUUGUAUGGGGAAUUCAUCACCAACUGUUAUUCCAAUUGCUUGUACUAUGAUGAUGCCAAUACUACAUAUAAAGAGACAAAAAUGCAAAAUGUACCAAUCUUGAAACUAAUUCGAAAAAUAUAUAUCAAAUGCCUCUGUUGACGAAUCAAUGAAACAUAUGAUUGAAUGGGUUUAUAAACUUUUGUGAUGUUGUGAGAAUUUCUACAAGUCUUUGCAAACAGCACGGUUUUGGUAUUCGUAUUCGGACAAGUCAAACAGGCUUUCGAAGUAAUGAAUUAGAAGUCGUAUAUAUGUAUGUGUGUUCGAAGGCCAUCAUAAGAGAGAUUUCAAAUUGAAGAGAGCACAAAUAGGAUGGAAAAAUAUAGGAGGAGUGUUCACUAUAAGAACUGUUGUGGGGCACUAUUUUAAGAUAGACGAGUAAGAAUAGUACAACUUGGGUUGUAAAUCAUUCAAAAAUGGAGCACAAUCAUAGUAUGAUUAGCCCUAAAAGUGUGUCAUAUCUAAGAUGUCAUAGAAAAAUGACUUCCACAGUUAGCCUUGUUGAAAAGUUUGAGAAGAAGGAAUUCCCACAGGGCAAAGUUGCAUCAAUAUUUAUAUAUGUUGCAUUAACAAUUCUCUAAUAGGGAUUGUUGGAACAUCUUAAAACUUAAGAGAAAGGACUUGGAUAAUGGAGAUGCAAAGCAGUCUAAGUUAUUUUUAAAGAAGCAGGCUGAAGAUCCGAAUUUCUUAUGUAUGCUAUUCAGAUGUGAUUGUGCAUGCUCGGAUUAGUAACUUAUUUUGGUGACUGCUCGGAUCUUCGUUUGGCUGAUGAAUAUUUUGGUGAUGUUGUUACAUUUUGACAAAAACAAAAUAAACAAAGGUAACAUGCCAUUUGCCCUUUUGUUGGAUUAAUCAAUCAAUCGUCAAUAGAUUUUAUAUUUGUUGUGCUUUGUUACAGAUGAAUCUGACAAAAGUUUUAUUUGGUAUUUGAAAACUUGGCUGAGAGGCAAAUGCAUGGAAUAGUCCACCAUACUGGUAUUAUGAUCAAUUUGCUAUUGAGCAGCUGUGAGAAAAUGUUUCAGAGUGUAGUUAGCCGUACCCCCGCCCCCUCGUUUUAUCGUUCGAUUAAAAAUUUCCAGGAACAGUUGUCACGAUUAUAUAUCAUAAAAACUCUGACUUCUAAGCGUGAAUUAAAAAAGAUGAUCGUAAUCUACUUACUAUAGAAGAGUUUGAAAAGGCAUUGGACAUGAACUGAUGAUUCACGAUGCUUAGAAGAAUGAUUGGCUUCAAGGUCUUUAGCAAGAUUAGAGAGUUUGGAUACCUGGUGUUAACCGAGCGACCCUUUUUGCGGGAAUGAUACACCCAAAGAAGUGAAAGCAUCAACGCAUUUUUUUGAUUCUUUUGUAAUUUCAACACUUCAUUAAAGAGUUUGCCAAGUAUGGAAAGGCAGUGUAAGUUAUGAAAAAAAAGAAUGAAGAUUUUAUUCAAGGCACAAAUCAACGCAUGUUAAGAAUUGGGUCCAAAAUAGAGGCUAAAGAUGCAGCAUCAAUUUACACAAGAAUAUUUUUAACAUUUUUCAAAUGAGUUUGUUAAAGACUUUCACUUACAAGGGAAAAGGUUGAAAAGAAUGGCUCGUGAUUUGUCAAUACAAAGUGUUGAGUUUGCUUUAUCUCAGGAUAUUGUUGUUGUUUGUCGUAGAAUUAGACUACAAAGCUGGUAGUUGUGGAAUGUCAUCAUCUUUGAAUUUAUGGGUAUUUGUGCAGGCAAAUUUAGCAGGUUUUUCAUUUGAAGAAUAAUUUUUGAAUUUCCUUAGCGUUACGUUUGUACACGUGGACAAAGGAAGCAAUAUAGAGUAUUGAUGUAUGGACAUAGAAUCGGUGUCGAAAAUUGAUCCUCAUUUCGUGCUAGCAUUACGAGAACUGAAUAUAUGUCGUUAUUGGAACAAUUUGUCUUGUAUUGGCUGAGAAAUCGAUGAGAAUUUUAUAGAAGUUAUCAAUUGCCGAUUGAGUCAACUUUGCACGAAGGUUUUGUAUGAUGGAGAAUCAAUUUUGUAUGUAAUGAAAUUGAUUGACACAAGCAAAAUGAUAAGAUCAACAUGUGCACCAAACAGAGAAAUGAAGUCAAUAUAAGUGAUGACAGUGUAUCGCAAACAAAGUCGUAAAAAAGUUACCGAGAAGGAGUCACAACAGUGGGAGCAUAAAAGUGGUCUUGGAUCUCGUGUGGCUCGUGUAGCAGCAAAAAGAAGAUCGAUGUCAGUUGUGCGGGGAUAUGUCAUAAUAAGCGUAGUUUAAGGAGAAAGAAGAUCAUUCAAAUGUGUAAAUCAUCUGUAGUUGAAAAUUAUAACGUUCAUGUGGAUAUUUGUAUAUUCUAUAUUUUGUGUAAAGUAUUUACUACAAAUAUCUUUUUUUUAUUUGAAAUUGGAUGUUAACUUAGUGAUUUGUGUUAACUAACUAAAUGUUUUCUCAAUUUUCAAUCUUUUAAAUAUUCUUUCAGGUACACACUUUUGUACUUACUAUAAGCAGGUUAAAUAGGAGCAAAGAUGCUUUGCACAGUGAUUAGAAGGCAAGUGACAUAUCAUUUAAAUAUACAUUUUCACUUUUAUUUAGAUUGCAAGUUGCUGACUUGUUUUUUUAUAUUUGAUCUUUGCAGGUGUUUUUGUGUUUGUUUUGUUAAAUUAUAAUUCCAUAGAAUAUUGUUAGCUAUGAUAUUUUUUGACUCAUGAAUGUAAACGUUUAAGAUUGUCGAUGAUUUUCAGGUUUUGUUAAUUAACUCAAUUUAAUAUAUAGGUUGAAAUACAAUCUGAAAGGUGAUAUUUUUUUCUAUUUAGAAUGGUUUGAAAUAGUUAAAGUGAUGAAACUUAUGAAGUUGUUUCUUUUUGGUGGGGGGGUGUUUGAGCAUGAAAGUUUACAUAAUUUUUUUAUCCAAUACUCAUGUAUAAGUUUGUUACUCUAAUUAUUACAUUAAUUUGUAUCGGUGCACAAAAAAAUUCGUUGGUUUUAAAAGUGUCGAAACCUAUAUUGAAGUUUAACAGUAUAAACAUAUAUUAUAAAAGGGUUAUUGCUAUAAUUUGCCCUUAUAUUACUUAAUCUGUUAAUAAUUUCUAAAAUUUUAUUUAUUUUAAUGUUAAUGUGUUAUGAUAGUCAAUUAAAUUUGAUUUUUUUAUAAAAUUAAAUUUAGUGUAUUAAAAUCAAUUGCAACAAUCUAGUUAAUUUGAAUUAACUGAAUUUUACUAAAUUCAGUGUAUUAAAAUUCAGAUUCUUUAUCCUUCUAAUGUAUGUGUGCGGAGUAAGUGAAAGGUAGUUAGAGCUGCAAAGUUCAGCCAAGAAGGAGAAAAAAAAUCAUGAAUGCAUGCACCAAAAGAAUAUUAGGAAGAGAGAGAGAAGGCGAGAGGGAGGCUUAGAGUGGAGGAAGAUUCGAAAGAGAGAGACAUGGGGAAUACCACCCCGGGGGGAGUCUGUGAUGAUGGUAUUGUGUAGUGCAGUAAUCGAAGUCAUGGAUUAAAAGUGAUGUGAGAGAAUAAUUUGCACAAUAUUUAUUCAAUUCAAGGACCAGUUAAAAAGUUUGCCAUUGCUGGAUAUUGGAUUAUAUUUUAGAUCUACGGGCCAAAAGACCUACGAAGCGCCUGUGUAAAUUGUUCACCAAUCACAUAUGUCAUUUGAUUGACUUGUAUAUAUGAGUUAUAGCUAAUACUAUUAUAGUUAGGAGAGGAGAGAUCCGAAGUAGUUGGAGAGAGACAUGAAUAGGCCGGACGUGCGCAGAGAGAUGGGAGAGAGGAGGCGUGGCGGCGGGGUGAAGGUGCGCCGUUGCGGGGCGUAGCGGAGCCCAACCCGGUGCGGCACGCGGGAGAGGAAGGCGACUGAGGUACUGUGACUUUCGGGCCGAAAUGAUGGAGUGAGGCGAUGGGACAGGGGCGUCGUCCAAACGGAACAUAAGGCAGAUGCAGGGGACUAUACGACUGCGAGAGAGAGGAGAGAGGUCGGUCAAUUACUAUCGAUAGUACCAAAGCCCUGUAUAUUGAGGUUUUCUAGCAUUUAGUUACCUGGAAUAUUUCCACCAUUAAGUUAUAUAUUUAACAACAUCACUCACCUAGGGGAUCAAUAUCAGUAACCGUGGACACUAUCAUCUAAUCGCACUUAAUCAAUCAAGGCGCAAAACUCAAUAGACAAGGACUUGGUAACUAUUGAUAGUGUAUCAGUUAAGCAUAAUUAUUAUAUUAUAUAAUAAUGUUAUAUAUAUAUAUAUAAUAGUAUAGUAGCUCUACUCUAUAUGAGUCCGGCUACUAUACUAUUAUGAGUACGAUCGCCCUCGUACUCAUAAGUUGUUUUCGAUGAUAGAGCUUCCGAAUCGACGAUCCACACCACUAAAUAUUAUCUAGAGUAUUUAAAACUUCUAGAAAUCAAAUUUCAUAAUUUUUCAACAUCAUUUACCUUACGAUCAAAAGCUUACAAAAUUGACAAUUUUUAACAGCCGGUAUGAGAUACUUGCUAGUUUAACGGUGUAAAAGAAUCAAAAUAGGUUGUAUUUUUGAUAGAAAAUUCUAUUCACUACCUAGAUAAAGAUCAAUAACUCCAAUCUUAAAUUAAAGAAUCUGAUCAUUCAUUUUUAGGACGUCGUUCGAUUUUGACCGUUCAUUUUAUGCUCGUUUGAUCGACUUUAUUAUGAUUUCGAAAAAUUACGAAAUUUAAUUUUUAGGGGUUUCAAAUACUCUAGAUCAUAUUUAACGGAGUGGAUCGUCGAUUCGGAAGCCCCAUCAUCGAAAACAACUUAUGAGUAUGAAUGACGCAAUACUCAUAACAGUAUAGUAGCUCUACUCUCUCUCUCUAUAUAUAUAUAUAUAAAGAGAAAGAGAGAGAGAGAGAGAGAGAGAGAGUGGGCUGGUAUGCUUCUGGAAGCGCGGAGCCCUCCGUGCUUCCAAGUUGUUUUUGAUGUUCAGACUUUCAAAUCGACGAUCGACUCCGUCAGAGUUGAUCUAGAGUAUUUGAAGUACCUAGAAAAUAAAUUUUGUAAUUUUUUGAUAUCAUUUGCCUAGUGAUCGAAGGGGCUCAAAAUCAAUAAUUUUAAUGGCCGUGGUGAGCCGUUUGCAAGUUUAACGGUCUAGAAAUAUCCAAAUUACAUGAAAUUUUGAUAGAAAAUUCUUUAUACCAUAUAAAACAAGAUCAAUAACUUUGAUCUAAAAUUUUAAUGUCAUAUCAUCAUAUUUUGUAAGAUUUUUAUUUUCAGCCGUUGAUUUUGAAUCACUUCGAUCACUAGGCAAAUGAUAUCGAAAAAUCGCAAAAUUUAUUUUCUAGAUAUUUCAAAUACUCUAGAUCAAGUUUAAUGGAGCCGAUCGUCGAUUCAAAAGUCCGAACAUUAAAAACAACUUGGAAGCACAGAACGCUCCGUGCUUUUAGAAGCAUAUCAGACGCACUAUAUAUAUAUAUAUAUAUAUAUAUAUAUAUAUAUAUAUAUAUAUAGUCCGGCUAUGGUACUUGUACAAGUACCAAGCACUUUGUGCUUGUGAAUUUUUUAUCGUUAGAUCUACGCCUUUGAUCAUUUUCACCUGUUAGAUUAUACUAUUCAACUAACCACCCACUCAAUUCAAGAGGGUCUACAUCAUCCUAACCGCACAUUUAUUAAUCCAAGGGCUAAAAACUUAUAAGCACAAAUGACUUGGUACUUUUAAAAGCAUAGGAGCUCAAUUCUAUAUAUAUAUAUAUAUAUACUUUUUCUUUUGAUGUUCUUCCUCCUUGCAUAUAAGAAUCUAUUGUCUAUUAUAUACAUCUUUCCAUUGCAUUGAGGGCGCAUUCGUCCCCACCAUCCUGUGAAUAUAAUUAAGAAUUUUGUUUUUUUUUUUUUCGGAUUUUAACAUUUUGUUCAUUCCGUACGUAAUUUUAUCAGUAAUGUAAAUUACCAAUACCGCAUAAUUAAUAUAAAAAUAUUAUAGAAUUUUAUUCUAAAAUUUUUAGGGUUAAAGUUCUGUACUUAUCAUAGCUUUUGGUUGGAAAAUUAGGGGGAUAAGGGGUUAUCCACCGUUAUCUCCAAAGGAGAUUAUUUGAGGGUGGGGAUUGCUAACCCACCUCUGGAAUAGGAGCGGAAAUAGUUGUUCUCACUCUUAUUUAAUUUUAAAAAAAAUUUAAAUUUAAAUUUAAAUUUUAAAGUUUAUAAUUUUAAAAUUUUAAAUUUUAAAUUGAUAUUUUAAUUUUUUAAAUUAAAAUUUUGAUAUUUUAGAUUUUUAAAUUUAGAUUUAAUCUUAAAUUUAAAAUUUAAAAUUCAAAGCUUUGAAUUUUUGAAUUUGAGAUUUAAAAAAUUAAAUUUAAAUUUUAAAUUUAUAAAAAUUAAAAGUUAUAUAUUUAAAUUUUAAAUUUUAAAUUUAAAUAUAAUAUAUGAGACAAUAUCAUUAUUUUCUAUUUAUAACUACCUACUAUUCUUCUUAUUCUAAUCUUAUCUAUUUUUUUUUAUAUUCGGCAACAACACAAUUUUUAUUCAAAUAUAAAAUUGAUUUAUUCUAUGCUUAUAUCUGAACUUAUAUCUAUUCCUGAAAUAGAUAAUUCUUUGUUUAUAUCCAAGCCUACCGAAGUCUAAAAGUGUGAAUAGGACAUUCAAACAUGAUAUUGUAAACAAUUGGCACAAAAUGCUAAAAUAUUCUAUUUCUUUCCAAUACUAUUGUUUUUACAGCACUCCUAAACACGGUCUUAUUAUUGUAAUUUGUGUACUAAAAAGGAUCACGACUUCUUGUUGGUUGAUAUCAUUCUCUUUUGGGUUUUUAAGCUAAGGUAGCGUUUGGUUCGGGAACAAGAUUGAGAAUAAGUCCUUGUUUCCUUUUUUGUUCCCAAACAGUGCGUUAGAUACUCGAGAACAGUAAUUUUCGAAUUUUUGAAAUAAAUCGGUAUAAGGCUAGAACUGUUGUUCUAUCUUUUUCCUGAAACAAGCUUGUUCCCAGGUGAGAAUAAGAUUAAUUAAAGUCUAAAAAUAAUUUUAAUUAUGAUAUUAAAUAAUUAAUUAAUUUAAUUAAUAUAUUUAAAACAUUAUUUAUUGCUUAAAUAAUAAACAAUAAAAUAAUUUAUUUAUUAAUUUAUAAUUAACUAAUUUAUUAAUUUAUAAUUUAUAAUUAGUAAUAAUUUAUUAUUUAUAAUUUAUUAUUUAAUAAUUUUUAAUUUAUAAUUAUUUACAAUUUAUUAUUUAUUUUAUAAUUAUUAGUUUAUUAGUUUAUUAUUAUAAUUAAUUUAUUAUUUAUAAUUAUUAUUAGUUUAUUAUUUACACUAUAUUAUCUAAUUAAUUUAUUAUUAAUAAAUUAUUAUUAAUUAAUAAUUUAUUAUUUAUAAUUAUUUAUUAUUAAUUAAAUAAUUAAUUAUUAAUUAAUUUAUAAUUUAAAAAUAUUAAUAAUUUUUAAUUUAUAAUUUAUUAUCUAAUUAAUUUCUUAUUAAUUAAUUUAUAAUUUAUAUAAUUUAUAAUUAUUUAUUAUUUAAUUAAUUUAUUAUUUAUAAUUAUUAAUAUUAAUUUAUUUUUUACGUAAUAUUUUGAUGUUAAUUAAUUAGAUAAAAUAAUUUUAAUUUAAAAUUAUAACUCUUAUUCGCUUUGUGCCAAUCUAACCAUCCAAACACUAUUUAUCUUAUUUAUACAAACAACCCAAGUUUAAUCUAAACAUAAAAUUGGUCUAGUUUCUACUUAUACCUGAGCUUGUAUCUAUCCCUGGAAUAAACAGUUCUUAUUUAUACCCGAACGAAACGCAGCCUAAGAGUUUAAAACUCGCUAUAUACAGGAAAAAAAAUUAAAAUAUGUGUUGGUGUGCUUCACACAACAAAGAAAACAAAAAUAUUCAUUCUUUUUUUAGGGUGCGUUUGGUUCGAGUUAUCCUGACAGGAUUACAGGCAAUCCUGCCAGGAUAACUGUAUUUGGUCAAUCCGCUAUGUAAUUUAGUCGUUAAUGUAGCAUUACAAAUUGAGCAGGAUUACAUUAAAAAUAUUAACGAGAGGGGGUCGUGUAUCUUGCAUUACUAAAACCCGUUAAUACUACAUAUUAUGUAAAGUGAAAAUUUUACCCUCCAACAAUCUCAAAUCUAAUUAACAGCAUUAUUUUCAUCUCUCUCUCGCCUUCCCCCGGCCCUCUCUCUUGCACGCCUCUUUCUCUCGCUCUCUCUCGACGUCUCUCUCUCUCUCUCUCUCUCUCUCUCUCUCGCACGAACACUUAUCAUCUUCUAUUGCGUCGUCCUCCCAAGUAAUCAUCAUGAUCUCCUUCCCUUCAUUCGUCAUUUUCGCAAAAAAUAAUAUUCAAAUGACCACAACAAAGGUAAUUUUUAAAAAAACUAUACUUUUAUGUCAGGAUUACUAAAUUUUAUAAACUGAACGAAACAUAUUAAUGCUAUAAACAUUGUAAUCUAGUAUUACAUUACUGUAUUAAACCAAACGCACUAAUGCAGCAUCAGUAAUAAUCUCACGCCGAAAUCCAAAAUAUCUGGAUAUGUCGAGAUACUCUGUAAUAUUACAUAACUCGAACCAAAUGGGCCCUUAUAGUAAUUUGUAUAGUAAAAGCAACAAUCGCUGCUCAGGCCGAGUUGAUUACCGCCCUUCUUCUAGAGUGUUAAAUUCAGAGUUUGAAUUCUGCCAUAUACGAAAAACAACAUGAGCGCAACUAAUUAAUAACAACAUCAGCGCAACUAAUUAAUAUCUUAACAUAAAAAAGGUAAAUUAACAAAACUAUUCCUCCCUUCCUCAAAAUAAGCUGCCUAGAGGGAUGUGCUAAUGUGGCUUUAUUGUUAUCUUAACAAAAAUAAAAAAAAUGCAAAUAGACAAAAAAAUAAUAGUUUUUUUUUUUUUUUUUUUUUUUUUUNAGACAGGAGAAACCGAGAGAGGGGGCGAUGUGCAAAAGGAUCCCGGCCGUUAUAAUGCUGAUGAUGAUGAUGCAGUCGAAGUUAACAGCAACGUCUCUGAGGCUUUGAGCUCGCCGGUGGGUCGCGGUAUUCUCUCUCUCUCUCUGACACAGCCGAGGUUUUCGAUUCACACCCCUUCCUUAUUCUCUCACUUGUGGACCCCACCGCCAAAAUGAACGGCGGUGAUCGUCUCCUCCCAUCUCCGCCGCCUCUCUCCUCCCCUCUAUAAAUACCUCCCCUCAUUCCCCCCGCCUCAUUCUCCGAUCCCCCUCUCUCUCUCUCUCUCUCUCUCUCUCUCUUCGGCGUGGUCGGAAGCGGGAGGAGGGGUUUGGGUUCGCGGAGAGAGGGGGGAGGGGCGGGGGAACCCUAACCCUAGUGGAGUUGCGUGCGACGGAAUUUUAGGGUUUCGGCGCGCGCGUUUGGGUCGGGAUUGGGAGCUCGGAGGCGUGAGCGAAGAUGAGUAGCCUCGUGGAGCGGCUCCGGGUGAGAUCGGAGAAUAAGCCGCGGUACAAUAUAGAUGAUUCGGACGACGAUCUCUUCGUUCCCCUCGCGACGUCGAAGAGGAAGCAGGAAGAGAAGCCCCCCGAGAAGAUCGUGAGGGAUGAUGCGGUAUGAUGUUCUUUCGCGGCUUUUCUUGUUGUUUUCAUGCUAAGUAGGUUUCGUUGCUUUGGUUCUCGAUUGGUAUUUUUCACAUGUCGGUAGCGGGAAAUUGCGAAAUUAGGAUGAACAUGUGCUUUCUUCUUCGUGGGAUUGUAAUUAAGUGUGUGGAAUUUGAGCCAUUUUCUUCUUUUGUGUCUAAAUGUUGUAAGAAAUAUGUGAAUUAAUUGCAAGAAACCUAAGAAUUUGAACAAAUCGGUUCUUUCUUGCUGUUUUUAAUGCAAAUUGGGUUAUUGCUUUGGUUCUUGAUGGUUCUUUAAAGUUGUGGGAAUUGAGAGGGUAAGUUCACCAUCAAUCUUGCCACUUCUUGGGACUAUUUUAGUGUGUAGGUUUGAACCAUUUUCAGUUUCGGUAGUGUCAGAAAAAUGUGAAUUAAUUGCAAGAAAACUUCAAAUUCCAGCUGCAUCAUAGAACAUUUUAUGUAGGAUCGUUCAAAAUGUUAGAUUACAGUACUUGCCAUUUUUCCUGAUUUUGAAUUAGAUGUCUACAAAGAAUGUAGUCCCAACUAAUUAAUGGAAAAGAUGAUAGAGCAUUUCUCGUUGGCAACUUUAAGCGUUUUGGGUGUCGUUAUAUAAGAUUGUUUAGGUACAUAAACUAUAUGACAUUUAACUUUUGAAUUGUUAACCUAAAGUUUUGGUGCUUCGUUAAAAGAUAAUUACUUCGGCCAGCAGGAAGCAACUUUGACAUUCUCUCUGUUGGAAAGUUUGGAAGGUCACCAAAAACCACCAAUGCAAGUGGGCAUUCUGAAUGGCCUACCAUAAAAAAAAAAGUGGAGAGAAAACCUAAAAUUUAUGAUAUUCCUUAUUUGAAAAAAAUGUCUUAAGAAUGUGCCAUGUGCCAAACUUCUGAUGUUAAUGAAUACGAGGGAAACUGGAGCUGGUCUAUUCUUAUUAAUUUUGUAACAUUUUAGAUGAUUUCCCUAAUCACGAGUAAUCUUUAAGAACUGUUUCUUUGCGCAAUAUAUACAUUAAAUGAUAAAUGUUCUUCAAUUUUCUUGAAGACUCGUAGUCUCGAAAUAGUGCUUCCUAUACAUUUGAUUUGUUAUUAUGAUUGUCCAUUUUAAGUUUAAACAUUCGUAUUUUAGGCUAAAUUGUUUUCUGAGUACAAACCCAAAAAAAUGUCAAAUCAUAUGAGACGAGCUUAAAGAUGCUGAGUUAUAGCCCCAUUUUUGAAGCAGAGGCGAUAUCAACAGUAAGGCUGACUGGUUUUUUUUAUUACAACUCAAAGAUAGGAGGGAUAGUCAGUUGCUGGCUAGUUUUUUGAGUAAAACUCAAAGUUAGGAGGGAUAAUCAAUUGAGAGUCUUACACUCUUACUGUAAUGGCUUGACUUUGAUUUUCUUUAUUCGACCUGCAAAAUCAGUCAAUGGGUUUACAGAAUAUUAUAUUUCUGUUUGUAAGAUUUGUUGUUUGGCUUUAAUGGAUUUUCUUCUUUAACAUUUGAAACCUUGGCGUUUUUGUGUGUUUAAAUUGUCAGUUCAAGCUCUUAUAUUUGAUUUUUAGUUUAUUGCUCGUUGUUACUCUUUUUUUUAGCCCCUUUUUGAAAGUUCUGCCUGACUGGUCUUUGGAACUAAUGGCUGAGAGAAAUGGGCCUAUUUUCAUCAGAACUUCCAUUGAAAUAUAUAUGUUGGCUUGACUGGAUGUUAAGAAACCUGCCUAAGGAUGGAUUCAUCAUAAAUCAAAGUUCUGAUCUUCUGUCUUACGCCUGUUUCAUUUCAUGUUUUCUAUCUUUUCGCUUCAGAAAUGUGAAAAUAAAUUUAAUAGAAACUUACUCAGUUCUGAUGGCUGGCGGUUAGCUUUGAGAUGUCUUGGAAGUUGAAAUUGUUUAGAGUAAAAUGGUGGUUCUUGUUGUUAACAUUUCUUGCAUAUUGUUUAUUUUUCUGAAUUUGAGCUUUCGUUAUUUGCAGAAAGAAGAUGCAUGCCAACUCUGUGGAGAAAAAAAUGACAAUCUAAUUUCCUGUGGAACAUGUACAUAUGUUUUCCACCGGAAAUGCUUGGUUCCGCGUUUGAAAAUAACACCUGAUGACAAAUGGAGCUGCCCUGAAUGUGUAUGUUUUUGCAAAACUCGUCUCCUUCACAGAUUUUUAGAUCGCUGUAGUUAAUAUUUGUAAUAUUGAAUGUGUGAAAUUUUCAGGUGAGCCCGCUGACUGAAGUUGAGAAGAUAUUAGAUUGUGAAAUGCGCCCUGUUGUAAAGGAUGGGAUUGAUUCUUCACAGCCUGGUUCAAAACAAGCUUAUGUGAAGCAAUAUCUUGUGAAGUGGAAAGGACUUUCAUACCUUCACUGCACAUGGUAGCUCUCGAGCUAACCAUUUAUUUCCUACUUAUUUUCUGUAACUCAAAGUUUCUGCUUUAAUCUAAAUAACAUGCAAGCGGCCUUUGUAAAAUUCGUAUGUUCUAUCUUUCUAUUUGGCAUGCUCACAUUUGUUGCCACUCAUUUUUUUAGGGUUACAGAGAACGAGUUCUUGAAAGCUUCCAAGGCUCAUCCACGAUUAAAGACUAGAUUAAACAAUUUCCAUAGGCAAAUGGAUUCCAUGGAUAAGUCAGACGAUGACUGGGUUGCAAUUCGACCUGAAUGGACUACCGUUGACAGAAUUAUCGCUAGCAGGUCUAGAAAUUUAAUAUUCACCAUGUUUAUAAUUGUCCACAUACUUUUGUAGACAAUUUUUUUGUUGUUGAACUGCUAUGUAUACUGAAACAGUUUUGUCACAUUCAAUUUAACACUGACUAGCAGGUAUUUCGUAGAAAUUUGUAAAAAUUAAAGAUCAUCUUGUAAAUAGAACAUCAUUUGGCUUCUAUCAUGUUCAAUUUAGACGUAUAAUAAGCAAUUAGAAUACACUGGUGCCAAAAAAAAUAAAUGUUUCAUGCUAUAGUGUGUUGGCGGCUCGGCACAUAGGUAGUUUUGUAAACGGCAAGCUUCGGCAUGCCACGGCACACUCCGUGCUGUAUUGUUCCGGCAAAUGCUCCGUGCAACCCAGUGCCCAGGCACUUAAAUCCUUGUGCAUAUGCGACGCCUGUAUGACUCUAGCGAUGCCUGUAUGAACCCCAUCUAUUUACUCCCUUAAUUAAUGAUUUGUAGCAUAACGGACAUCAACAUAAAAAAUAAAUUAUCCUGGUUAUAUCAUACAUAAAUAGUAAUCUGGUGUAGAAGUUCCUUUUCAUGUUGUCACUUCUUUUCUUUUCUUCCUUUUUCUUUCUUCACUUUAAGUGCAUUGUCUUUAAUUCCAGCUAAAAGAAAGAACCUUUUCAAGUGGCAAUAUUAGAUCGUACUUUGAAUCAUAAUUCGAUGUCUGACAAUUUAACCUUCAUCGGGCCUUCACUGAUGCUAGAUGGCUGGAUUUCUUUGUUUCAAAGGCAUAAUUAUGCAAUACUGUGUCUUAUGUUGUUUCUGAGUAUGACGAAGAGUUUCCAACAGAAAAGCUGGUGAUGAGCGUGAGUACCUUGUGAAAUGGAAAGAGCUUCCGUAUGAUGAAUGUACCUGGGAAGUUGAGUCAGACAUAUCUGCCUUUCAAUCUCAGAUUGAAAGAUUCAACAUGAUUCAGUCGAGACGUCAUAAAAAACCUCCUAUUAAGAGUAAGAAUGGUAAUCGUGAUACACUUUCCUAUGAGCAGAGCCCUGAAUUUCUCUCUGGCGGUAUGUUUAUUUCCUGAUAUGAUUUUUCUCACUUUCCUCUUCCAAUUAUGUAUAGGUAUUGUAACACAAAUGCUUAUUUUGCCUUUUUGAUUAUUGAAGGGUCAUUACAUCCCUAUCAGCUUGAAGGAUUGAAGUUUUUGCGCUAUUCAUGGCUAAAAGAUAAUCGGGUUAUCCUUGCAGAUGAGAUGGGUCUAGGUAAGGAUAUCUAUUCUUCAACCAAAAUUUCUUUUUAUUUGUCAUCAUUUUUGGAGGUUUCUAACUUAGAGGCGUACUGAUAUUUUUUCGCAGGAAAAACAAUACAAAGUAUUGCUUUUCUGGCUUCUCUGUUUGAAGAGAAUGUAACUCCUCAUUUGGUAGUGGCCCCUUUAUCAACGCUGCGCAACUGGGAGCGUGAGUUUGCAACAUGGGCACCUCAGAUGAAUGUUGUGCGUGUUUAAGUUCCAACUUUUUAAUGAAAAGAAUCUUUCAUCCGAAGUCUUAAGAAAAUAUUCUCAGUUUGAAUUUUUCAUGUGAAAUCUUAAUCCCUUUUUUUUUUGUGUGUGGUAGGUAAUGUAUUUUGGAACUGCCCAGGCUCGUGAGGCCAUUAGAAAAUAUGAAUUUUACUUCCCCAAAGAAAAAUCUCAUAAAUUUAAAAAAAAGAAAACUGUUCAAGGAAGCAGUCAGAAGAAACAAUCGAGAAUAAAGUUUGAUGUUCUUUUAACUUCAUAUGAGAUGAUUAACAUGGACUCGGCAGUUUUGAAGCCUAUUCGGUGGGAAUGCCUGGUAUUUUCUUCUAUCUUACUAGUUAAUUAUCAUUGAAAUUCUUCCACUCAUUUUAGUUGUCUUUACUGACAUUACUGUGUGAACACAGAUUGUCGAUGAGGGUCACAGGCUGAAAAAUAAAGAUUCUAAAUUAUUUAGUCAAUUGAGAGAUUAUUCUACUAACCACCGUGUGCUUUUAACUGGAACGCCUCUACAGGUUUAUAACUGUUCUCGCCUCGUUUCUUGGAUAUUUACCUAAUUUUUUUAAUCUUUGUUCUCUAGCGUUUGCUAUUUUGCGAAGAAACAUAUAUGAUUAAAGUUGAUUGAUUAAUGCACUGUAUUUCUUGAAGAUUUUUAGUUGCUUUAGCUUCCUACAGUGAUGUUCCUAAUCUAUAAAUAUGGAACGGAUACAAAUUGAAAUAUUCACAGAUACUAUUGAUAUCUUCUGAUUACUGAGAUUGAUGUUCUGGGCAUGUAGAAUCGGUUUUUCACAGAUAUCGUUCAGUCAAUAAAAAUUGUAUCUAUUAUUUUGCUGUUAACUUUAACAUACUACAGGACAGUGCUCUUUGUGGCAUUAGUCUAUUACUUUUUCUUUUUUUUUUAUAAAACCCGGGUAUUCUCUUGUUAAGGGUUCUUUUUGUAGGUCAUUACCUGAAACAUUGUCAUCAUGAGCAACUUAUUGUCUGAAAAAAUGUACAUUUUCACAAUUGAAGUUGCUUCAUAUACACAAUCGAGUGUUGUUCCGCUCUUAUUAAGAGCAUGUACUUUAUGAGAGUGAAUUCAAAUUGAAUACUAGCUCUUGCAUGAAAUGGAUAAAACUUUAAACUGCUGAGAACAAGCCAAUAGGUAAGUAUUCUUAGCCAUAUCAGUUAUCCCACCUUACAAGUCUAGCAAGGGUAUCUUAUGCCUACAUUACCUCUUAAUUACUAGUUCUGUAGACUGAUGUAACUUUUGAUUCCUCUGCCUUCAAUAGAGCCUCCUUAGUAUGAUUGCUGUGAUGAUGACUAGAACAUUAAACUUCAAGCAAGUUUUGGGUGCAAUUGGCAACCGUCUCUUUUCUUACCCUUUGCUUAUAUUGUAACUUGUUAGAGUACUGAAGCCGGAGCAAAAAAGAAAAAAGUCUACCGACAUUUAGUUUACUUUUGCUUUCAUCCAAUGCUGUUUUGUUUCCAAAAAGUUGGAACUUUCUGAGGGCAAAAAGGAGCCUGAUAUCAUUUGUUUACACAGCAUACUUGGUUGUCAUAGGAAAAUUGAAUUUGCAACAAAAUUGAACGCUUAUUAAAAAAUAACCUAGAAUUGAAUUACAGAAAAAACCAUAACUUCUGGGCAAAACUCGAGCCACAACCCUGACAAAGGUGAUGUCAAAUGCACUUCUCAUUUUGCGUCUUAAAUACCACUAAAUACUCUCUAGAUUUGGGCUAAUUAAACUUUUCAACUAGAAUUGUGCAUUGCACUUUACCCUUUGCAAUUAACAUUUCAAAGACUUUGCAUAAGAUGAUGGAGGGUGACGCUUUAUUAACUCUCUGGUAUCAGUACUCCUUCCUAAUAAUGUGUCGUCUGUUGGAAGCCAGAGUGCUUUGUAAUGACAGCUUGUUUUGUAAGCUUCCCUUUUGUUGCCAUCCUUCUAAAGAUUGAUAAUUCCUUACAGAUAAUGUUCAUUCUAAUAUAAAGGUUAUGAUGAAUAUGCUUUUAAUUUUGCAGAACAACCUGGAUGAGCUAUUCAUGCUUAUGCACUUCCUUGAUGAUAAGAGUGUAAGUUAUGCAGCUCAUGAUAACUUUCUCAUCUUAUGUUUAUUGGUGCACCAUGGAUGGCAUCGUAUAGUGGGAUAACAACCUCAAUUUGCAUGCACAAAGUUCCUUUUUCUUCCUGUUGUAGUUAUAAAAGUGCAAGGUUAGCGUUAAUCUUUAAUCUUUUGUUUUCAACAUGCUUCAGUGACAGACUAUCAUCCAAAGGUUCUGUUUCUUGAAUUUCAUGGAUGAGUUAUAUGUUCUAUUAACUUUCUGAGCUUUUUCAUAUUACCUAGUUAUAUUAACAGGUUAUUAGCAGGAUUGGUAGGUUUCCAGAGGCAAAGAGCUUUAUAAAUCUAAUUGGUGGCAUCCCCACAGGAUGUCAUUAUUUUUUAAAAUAUUCAAAUUGAAGAUAACAUUGCAAGUGAAAUCACUUAUUUAAGUUGCUUGUUUGAGAUAUGUUGUAAUCAAGCUUUAAUUAGUGCAAACAAUUAUCUGAUAUUGCAGUUUUGAUAGAUUUAGCAGCUUAUCAACAUCAUAUUUGUUUUUCUUAUGUGUGGUUCUUCUUUUCUAGUUUGGGAGCAUAGAGCACCUUAAGCAGGAAUUCACGGAUAUAAAUCAAGAUAAGCAAAUUGAAAAGCUUCAUGAUAUGCUUAUGCCACACCUUCUUCGAAGUAUGCUCCUUUAUUUUCUUAAUUUAAAAUGAUGCUCGUAUUCAUUCUAGUAUUCCAUUGGUGUUACCAAGUCUAUAAGUAAGCUCCACGUUUUGUGUUAUAAAUUCAAAGAUAGUUUUUAUUGCGCAUUUCAAUAUUUUUUAAUGAUGGCUUAUCAUUUAGAUAACGGCUCAAGGAGACAUGGACUACUAUUAGGUGAACGCAAGUCUGUGCUAUAUUAUUGAUUCAUUAAUAUAUGUGGUGAUUAUAUUUGAGGUAUAAACUAAUAGCACUGUCUGAUAUUUAACUAUUUUUGAAUUCAAAUGGGUUGGCAUCCGUGAAGCAGUCAAUUGACACAUACUUCUGACGGUAGCAUACUGAAAGGCAUAAAUUGAACUACUAACAUAGGGUUCAGGCUAUGGUUACAUUUGGCAUCAUAAAUCAAGUACUUUAGAUGUUGGAAGGCUAUUUUUUGUAGAUCAGAAACAUUUUGCACAAUGCAAUACAUGAUGCUUUUAUCUAAUCUAAAUAAACAAAUCAUGCUAAUGCAUGAUCCUUUUAUCUAAUCUAAAUAAGCUAAUCAUGCCCAUUCAAACAUUCAUAGAUUCAUCCAUCUCGGGUUCUUAGAUUUUUAAGACUCUAGUGAGAAAUUAUAGGAGAAAAGGCAAGGAUAUGAGAUUUAUCAGAUAAAGAGAGAUGGGUAGAACAAGGAUGGACUUGAAACAAUGGAAUAGGGAGCAAGAAGGGAGCAAGAAUGUUACCAGCUUUUUGUGAUCUAUACAUUAUUUACUUUGGUCAUCAUGUCAUCAUUGAAUAUAUGCUAUGUACGAUGUACAAGGCAUUUAUGUUUGUCUGAAGGAUGAAUAUGUUAGACAUGCUAGAUUUAUUUAUCUAGACUCAGUUUAAAUACUCGUUGAGAGAGAGAGAGAGAGAGCUCUUCCUUUGAGGUUUCGUCGGAGAGAGAAGAUGGUCGCUUGUUGUUUUCCUUGAUUGGGAAGAGAGGGGGGUGAAAAAAAAUGUGGGAGAGAGGGAGCUUACUACUAGUGAGAGGAAGGUGGGAGAGAGAGGUGGAAGAAAAGGAGGUGGGAGAGAGGGAGUUUACUGUUGAGGAUGGGGAGGAGAGAGAAGCGGUAGGAGAGUGGAGUAAAAAAUAUAAUAAUAAAUAGAUUAGGAUGGGGGGAAAUAUAUGAAUUGUUUAGGUAUUGUGGAUUAUUUUGCUCAAUUUUUAAACGGGUGAAAUUGAUUGUGCAGGAAUUAGUUUUUGAGAAACAGCUUUGAGCUUCUUCUAAUUCUGGGGGACCUAAAAAUCAGAAUUCUGAUUUUGAAAAUUAGAAUUAGAUUUUACAACACCUGCUACCUGAAAGCUCUAUUAAACCAAAAAUCUCUUUUGGCCCCAAAAUCACUUUUCAAAAGCUAGGCCAAACACCCUCUGUAUGACAUUCUGUAAUGAAGACUUUAUGUCCAUACCUUUUCUUGAAUUACUGUGUUUUGCCUAUCCUUUUUUAUACUACCCAGAGAAGCCUAAGAGUUCAAGUCUAACUUUAUAAGAUACGGUCCACAGACUUUAUCUAGAAUGCCGAGUAAUAGGAAAGUUGACGAUUGAAUGAAUAGGUUGUUAGUGGAAAAAUGGUGAAUUAUUCAUUGAGAAAUGUUCUUCAUGAAUUAGUCAAUUCUGUUCCAUUUUUUGUUGUUUCUGUUUUCUUUGAGUGAGGCAUUUGGCUUUUCCCCUCAGCGACAAAGUGGCAAGUGAUUUAUCAUUUCUAAAUAAAACAAGUGAACUUUCACAGGAUUCAAGAAGGAUGUAAUAAAAGAUCUACCUCCGAAAAAGGAACUAAUUUUACGGGUGGAACUAAGCAGCAAGCAGAAAGAAUAUUACAAGGCUAUUCUUACUCGAAAUUACCAAAUACUAGCUCGUCGUGGUGGUGCUCAGGUAGGAUUUUGCUGUUAAAGCCAAACAUAUAUUUUCAUGCAAUUUGUGCAGGUAACAUCUAUACUUUCUUCUAUCUAGAUAUCCCUUAUCAAUGUUGUCAUGGAACUUCGCAAACUUUGUUGUCAUGCAUACAUGUUAGAAGGUGUUGAACCUGUUAAAGAGCCGGCCAAUGCUGAUGAAGGUUUAAGGUAUAUAUGCUUAUUGCCCUUUGCUUUAGCAGCUCAAAUUUGGCUUCUUUUCUCAUGUGGUGAUAUGAAAUGUGAUGCAUGCAUGAUAAAAGAACAAUUUAAAAGAAAUUAAGGAGCAGUUUCUACAUAUAGUUUUGCUGCCAUGAAACUUUAUCCUUGCACUAUUUGGAGGUCUUACCUAUCCUCUAGGUCUUACCUUUGAGGCUGGGUUGUUUGAUUGCUUAUAUUAGUACAAAUGUUUUGCAUGAUGUAGUUAACCUUGGGUUGUUCGAUUCUACAUCGCUUGCUCUUAUUAGACCAGAAUUAUCAGAUUAUGUAAAGGGAUGUGUGGGUAUGUGUGCUAUCUACUAUUAACUUGAGCAAUGCAAAGUGUUCUUUGAAACUAUCUUGGCGCCUUUAGCCUGCAAGACACCUCGCUGUCCAUGCUUGCAGCACUAAAACUUCUGCUUGCUCACUCUGAUGGUUCUAUAGGAGGUUGCGUUUGCCUAAAUGACUAUAUCAUAUCUCAAUGCACAAGUUCCAAUACUUUGAAAUACAUAAUGUAUCAAUUGCAUGUAACUUGUUUUCAUAGGCAUCUUCAAGAUGCCAUCUUUUUAAUCAGGAGACUAGAUUUCCAGUAGGUUUAAACUAUGUUAUGUUAUUUUCUAUUUUCUCCUCUUUUGAUUUUUCAGACAACUUCUAGAAACUUCUGGAAAAAUGCACCUGUUGGAUAAAAUGAUGGUAAAGCUAAAAGAGCAGGGACACAGAGUUCUAAUUUAUUCACAGUUUCAGCACAUGUUGGACUUACUUGAAGAUUACUUGAGUUACAAGGUAUAAGCCAGUAUCUUCUAUAUUAAUCUAUCUGACAAGCUAUUAGGCCCAAGUGACAUACUAAAUUUACAUAUGGUAUAAUUGUUUAAUGGAACCUAUAUACAAGAAAUGGAGCUAUGAGAGAAUUGAUGGCAAGAUUGGUGGCGCUGAAAGACAGAUACGCAUAGACCGAUUCAAUGCGAAGAACUCCACUAGGUUUUGCUUUCUUCUUUCUACCAGAGCUGGAGGACUGGGAAUUAAUCUGGCAACUGCUGAUACUGUUAUUAUCUAUGAUAGGUAAGAUCUAUCUGUUUUCCUGGUUUUAGAGAGCUUAAUUGUCCAUAUAGAAUGCUUUUAUUUGACUCUUGUUCGUAACCUAUUUUCUUGACAUCCAUGCUUUUCAGUGAUUGGAAUCCUCAUGCGGAUUUACAAGCAAUGGCUAGGGCUCAUCGGUUAGGGCAAACCAGCAAGGUUUGGAUUGGCACUUAUUGCAAUGGUUCUUAGUUAUGUCUGCUUACUAUUGGUGCUGUGUGAAAAUAUGUUUAACUUCUGCUGGCCUUUUGGCUAGUAAGAGUUAAGCUUUAAACUUUGAAGUCUCUUUAGAUUUGACAUUUUCUCUGCAGGUUAUGAUAUAUAGGCUUAUAACUCGAGGAACCAUUGAAGAACGGAUGAUGCAGUUGACUAAGAAGAAGAUGAUAUUAGAGCAUCUUGUCGUUGGCCGGCUUAAGGCGCAGGGAGUCAAUCAGGUAUUUUCUCCAAGCUCUUUGCUAGAUGGUCAAAAGUCAGUGUACAUAAUAAGCUUGUUGCUGCUUCUUUCAUGCACACUUAUUGAGGUUUUGAAUGGCAUUGCAAUUGCGAUGUAGAUUGAGGCCUUUAAGGGGUUUGACACUGUAGUUAAGAUCUAUGGAUGUCCUCAUAGUUGAAAUUAAUUCCUUGCUCUGUAGUGAGAAUUCGAUAGAUUUUGAAGUAAAGCAAAAGAAUGAAAUCUGUUUUUUUUAUAGUCUGAAAAUAUUUUCUUUGAAGCAGAUAUAAUUUUGUACACAUAUAAGGGGAGAAAUUUUGCCAAAUUAUCAUCUGCUUAGAAACUUGUUGACCAUUUUGUGAAUCGUUCUGGCAGAUCGUCAUUUUGGAAAAUUUAUCUUCUCUUGAUUUAUCUUGGUGCUGGAUACUAAGAUGUCACCUUUGUAGACCUUAUUUUUCCUGAAGUUUUGUAAACUAGUGCUUCUGUUUUGCAAGAUUAUAGAAUAGCACAUCAUUGUGGUGUCUUGCAUGGAAUUCAAUAAUCUUGAGUAUUGACGAACAACAUGCUAAUCAGCAUCUUACAUGUCAUAUCUCUAUGUUUAAACUUCUGAGGAAAUAGUGUAUUUGUUUAGAAGAAAAAGUUAUGAUGCAUGAAAAGACAGUUAUAAGGCUCAUUUUUCAUUUAUAGAUAUGCCUCGAGCCUACUUAUUUAUAAAAUGUGAACAGCAACAGUGCACUUAUCACUAUUUUUUGCUCAAGAUAAACAGUAAGAAAGCUUAAGAAAAAUUACGCAUAAUGCAUAAUCUCUUCUUGUUCUUUCUAAAUGUUCAUUUUUGUCUUGAAAAGCGAAUAAUAAUGGCAAAGAGGAUCUUUUCGUGCCUUCAUUAUGCUAUAGGAGGAGUUAGAUGAUAUCAUACGAUACGGAUCAAAGGAGUUAUUUGCUGAUGAGAAUGAUGAAGCUGGAAAAGCUCGCCAAAUUCAUUAUGAUGAUGCUGCAAUCGAUAGGUUCUAUUUCUUUUACUAAUGUUAUUGACAUCAGUCUGGAAACUGAUAUGGUACUUUUGGAUCUCUUUCUUAUGCAUUAUUAACUUUGUAGGUUACUUGAUCGUGACCAAAUAGAUGAUGAAGAGACUUUAGAUGAUGAAGAGGAGAGUGACUUUUUAAAAGGCUUCAAGGUAUUGUUUUAAUUUGUACGUUUAACUGUAGCUAUCCUUUGAGGCAGGUUGUUUUACAAAGGAAAAUAGGAAUCUUCUCAAUGGAUGAAAGUCAAAGUUUAAUAGUUGGGAAUGUUGCUUCUUGAGGAAUAUACAUGUAACGAUUAAGGAAUAAGUAUGUUGUUUAAGAUAUGAACAAUUCAUAUUCAUAUUAAUAUUCACUUUAUUUAAUAUAUGGCCAAGAAUAAUCAAAUUCAAUAGUCUUAUUGAUGGUAUUGGAAUUUUAUUUUAUUUUCUCCCCUGCUGGGCAAGAUGAUUUGAAAGCAACAUCCUCGGUUAUGUUGCCAUCUAAAAUCUAGAUGCCUCCGAGGUGAUUGUGUGUGUGUGUGUGUGUGUGUGUGUGUGUUUCUUUAAAGUAAAUAGGUUGAGCUUUGUUCGGCAACACUUCAUGGUUUUCUUAAGUUAUGCGAUUGAAUGUGCCAAUGGACACACUUGUCUGUUCUUGCUAUUGUUGGUUAGGUGGUAAACUCAUCUAAAAAAAGUGAAAAAAUUGUUAAUUAUUGUUUUUCAUUGGCACUGUAUAUAAUUGCGUACAGUCUGCCAUUUGCGAGCUUAUUCAGUUGUAUAGAAUUUUCAGAUUAAAAAAAAAGAAAAAAUAGCUGUAUCCAAACAAGGCAUAAGUUAGUGGUUUAUUUCAAGGAUUUCUGCUAUUGGUAGCUGCCGGUUGUGCCGCACCGUGCCAGUGAGGACCAGCUGAUGGUACAAGGGUGUACCAUGGCGCAACCCCAAGCCCUCUGUGCCGCAAUGUAUCUAUUACCUAGUGCCGCCACCAUUGUGCCUGCCAUGCUACUGUCCUCGUCAAGGAAUCACCAUUAUUUCUGACUGCUGCUCGUUGCAAUUGUCAUGAUGGUUUUAGAGUUUGAGUGGAGGUAGACUAAGAGAAACGGGUGUAGGUUAGCGGGCUUCCAGUUUACCGAAAUGCGCUCUGACGCGUUACUAGGGGGUUUUGAUAGACCAUGAGCUGGCUAAUCCACAUCUGGUUCUCUUAUACUCCCAUUUCUUUUACCUUAAUUUGGAACCACAUCACCUCUGUUCUCAUUUUCUCUCUCAUUUGAUUCUCCACUGUUCUCUUCUUCUUCUUUACCCAAUCCCUGUUGCCAUUUUCUUCCUCUCUACAGCUGUUGAAUGUUUUUGGCAUCGAUGAAACACCUCGACAGUCACAUAGUCAUGCUCUAGUGGCAGAAGCCAUCAUGCUGCUGCUGUGCCGGCACCGGCAUGAGGCAUGCCUGUGUGUUGUUCCGUGCUAGAGCUGAGCCAGCGCACCCCUUGCCAUCAGCAAGGAGAUCCUUGGUUCAUUUAGACCAUCAUCAGUUAUAUCUAAAAAGAAAAUGAGUAAUGUGCUGAGGAUUAGUAUUAUAAUAUAGAUUGGAGGAAUGGAUACAAGGUCUCUCUGAGACUGUAUUUAAGUAGUCAUUAUAACAUGAUACUUUUGCAUUAUUAGUUUUUUCCUUGAUUCGUUUUCUCUUUAGUACCCAUAUUGAAUAAUAAUAAUGCGUGAAGAGUGUUACAUAUUAUAGUAGCAGGACAAUAUUACAAUUGGAUUAUAUUUUGUUGUAAUUAUUUAUGAUUUGAGCAAAUGAGAUGUAUUAUUUUGCAGUUAGUAAGAAUUCGACUGAAGUCAUUAUGUGGUUCCUAGCUGUCUAAUUUCUCUCUGCCUAGGGGCAUCCAAGCUGCUCUGUUGUUUCACAUUGAGCUUUGUGUUGAAAACACCAUAAUGUUAUUAGUGGCUUAUUUCUUUAAAAUUGAUGCAAAUUAGCAGUUUAUUUCUUUAAAUAUGAUGCAUCAAUUGCUUAUCUUGACUUGUCCACUUAAUUUCCUUCUCACAUGUUUCAUAUUCAUGUUCUACUGUACUAUAUUUAUUCUGAUAAUAACCAUAAUUAUGUAAAAUUUUAGGUUGCGAACUUUGAGUAUAUAGAUGAAGCUGAAGCUGCUGCAGCAAGAGAGGAAGAGCUACGAAAACGUUCUAUGAAUGACAAAGCUUCUGGCUCUAAUGUCGACAGAGCAAACUAUUGGGAUGAAUUAUUGAAAGAUCGAUAUGGAGUACACCAAAUGGAAGAAUAUACUACUAUGGGAAAAGGAAAAAGAAGCCGCAAACAAGUAUUGCCUUGUGCUAACCCUUUUCUCUUAUCUUAUUAUAUUGAUAUUUGCUUAUUAUUAUUUUGUUAUGGUGUUAGUAUUUUCUUCUUGGUCUUCUACAACGAAUGCAUUCAAAUCCAUCUAGUUUUCUUUUUUCUUUUUUAUUAUUCUAUGGUAUCGCUUUUCUGUCUGCUCCAUUUUGUGACUUUCUUCAUUAGAAGUGCUACUUGUUUUCAAUUUUCAAGAUGGCCUAGCAAUGGAGAAUGCUGUAUACUUUUUCUUACAAAUGUGUGCAGCUGAUUGUAACAGUCUUUUAUUUUAUUCAGAUGACGGCUGCUGAUGAAGAUGAUCUUGCUGGCUUGCAAGAUGUAAGUUCUGAAGAUGAAGAUUACUGUUAUGAAGAUGACUUUUCAGAUGAGGACUCAAAUAUAGCUGGAAAUGGACCUGGGAAAAGGGGCCAAUUUUCAAAGAAGAAAGGACGCGGUAUGUUUUUAAAGCUAAUUGUAUUGUGUUUUUGUUUGGGUUGACUUGUAAUCUUUGUUACUCAGGAACUUCAAUGAUGCAUGUUUAUUAGGUUAUGUUGAGUCACCGCUGAUGGAAGGUGAGGGGCGGUCUUUUAGGGUUCUUGGUUUCAAUCAGAACCAAAGGGCUUUGUUCGUACAAAUACUGAUGAGGUGUGUAUUAAGUCUCAUGCUUAUUACAUGGCAUUUGGAAUUUUGGUUAAAUAUUUACUUCAUCAAAUCGACUCCAAAACUAGCCCUCCUUGUUCUCUAUAUUCUCUCUUCUUUUUCUUUAGUCGCAGUAUUAUGUCCAAAAUGAGAUUUAAGAUGAGCGAUUUUGGAACUAUGAUCAAUUUCUAUGCUAAUUUACGGUAAUUUAACAUAUGUAGCAUAAGGUAGAGCUGAUUGUGUAGUUAUAGAAUUACGCUUUCCUUCUUAUACGGUAGGUUUAAUGUAAAGGAUUACAAUUUGCAUGUAUAUCUGUGUCAGUUUGCACAUAAUUCUUUCAAACUUAAAUAGUAAAAUUUUUCUCCGACUGAUCACAUAUUUAUUAUACUCUCUUCUUUUUUGGUUUUUCCCCUCUCUUAUAGUUGCAUGUAUACUCUUUGGUUUGCUCGAUUCUCUUUCUUAGUUUUGAUACUCUCUAUCUCUCCCCCCUCCCUAUUAUGUAGGUUUGGCUUUCAGGAUUAUGAGUGGAAGGAAUUUCUUCCUCGACUGAAGGGUAAAACUGCUCGUGAAAUAAAAGAGUAUGCUUUUCUUUUAUCCUCCAAAUUAUGUCAUUGGAGUAAUCAACUUUUAUAUCUAUGUAUUGCUGUAUAGUAUCAUAUAUUAUGCCUAAGACUUUCCCAAUUAAAGUUAUUUGAUUCCAACUUGCCUAAGCUAACCAUUUUUUUUUUGGUUGACGCAAAUGAUUCAAGUUUAAGCAUCCGAUAGUCAAUGGGGAAUCCAUUAUUCUCUUUCUAUAUAUUAUUAUUCAAUAAAGUAAUGAUUGUGCUUGCAAAUGACUCAUUUGUGAGGAUUUCUUGGAGGAUUUCUUGGAGGAUCUACUUAGAAUCCAUGAUAAAACCAUCUAUUGCCAACACCUUCCAGUUUCCUUUUUGCAUAACCUGUGGAAGGAUCUGAUUGAAAUGGAGGAUUCCGUGUAUGAAAAUACUGUGUUUACAAUUGUUCCUUUUUUCUUCCAGGUAUCAAUGCUACCUGGUCCUUCUUAAGAAUCUUUGCAAUGUCUUCAUGUCAAUCAUUCCUACUGGAGUCUAAAUUUUAGACCAAUCUUAGCUUCCAGAACAUUUUGUUGGCAGUUAAGUAGUUUGACUCAAAAAUUUAAGUGCCCAUUGGCACGGGCCGUACCUACUGUACUGUAUCGUGCCAAUAAGAUAUCGGUACGAUAUAGCUCCCGUGCCGAUUGCACAGCUCAAAACCCUCUUUUCUUUAAAUUAGUAAGUAAUUUUCUCAAUAAAGUUCAAAAGAUUUGAUAAAGAUAUGAAAAUAAAUAUUUUAUAUCAUUAUAUGUCGGCACACAUGUAUUUUUUGUGACCGGCACGGUCCGGCACACACCAUAUCGUACUAUGCCGACAAAUUUUCGGCACGAUCCCGUACCACGACACUUAAAUCCUUAGACUUGCUUUUUUCAUUGAUCUAUAGAUUUUAAAAUAGUAGGUCAAACUUUGUUAUGGUCAUUAGAGAAUGAUAUUUCAUCUAGUAGAACUCAUGGAUUUAAGUGCCGUGGCAUGGAGUCGUGCUGGAAACUUGCCGGCACGCUUGCCGAUGCGUGCUGGUCACAAAAAAUAAAUGUCUGCCGACACAUAAUGGCACGAAAUAUUUAUUUUCUUUAGCAACAAAAUAUUCUAACGGUUUAUUAUGUAUCUUUAUCAAAUCUUUUGAACUUUAUUGAGAAAAUUAUUUACUAAUUUGAAGAAUAAAAGGUUUUGAGCUGUGUCAUCAGCACGGGGGCCGUAUCAUGCCUAUAUCUUGUUGGCACGAUACGGCACGGUAGAUACGGCCGUAGAUACGGCCCGUGCCAAUGGGCACUUAAAUCCUCCGUAGAACCCCAUGUGAAAAAUGGAAAAUAGUGGAAAAGGCGAACUUCUGAGUGUUGAAUGACUCUCAGAGCAUGUUUGACAAUAAUGAAGUUUCAUGAAGUUGGUUCUUUUCUGCGGUUGGGUUUAACCAAAAUCCCAACGAUAUACCACCAGAGGAAGUCAAAAAGCAUGAAAAUGAGGCACAUGUCCAGCAAGAUCUCACAAGUUCUGUAUGAUGCAAUUAACCGAACUCGUUACAUCCUAGUUCCACUCUAGCUAUCUCAAUUCGUCAGGAACAAAUGCACCCUUGAUUUACUUUUCUUGCGCAUAGAUGUCAGGCUCCCAAAACUAAACAUCAAUUUAAAUAGUUAUUUGUUACAUAAACUAAAAUGUUGUCAUAUACAUGCCGGCCGUUCAAACCUAUGAGCUCAGAUGUGGAUAGUACUUGUAAGCUUUCUGUGAUGAGAACAAUAUCUCACGAGAUAGGGUCUUCUCUUAGGACAAUGAAUUGCUUCACUUAGUUCUAAGAUAUAGGUAUCUCAAAUGUGAGUCUUGAUUAAUAUGGUCUGUCAUUCAUUUUCCAACCAAUUGGAUGGAUUUACUACAGAAGUAUAUAGAUCCAUCGAAAUUUGCUCUAUUUGUGCUCUAUACUUCAGUCUUUUAAGUGAAAGGUUUCUUUCUAUGACUACAGUGGAAGUAGAACCUCUAUAAGAAACAUGUUUGAUCUCCAUUAUGUUGUCAGGUUUACCCUUCUAUGAACUUGUUGGAUGGAAAGGAAAUUAAGCGUGGCGGACUAGUCUAAUAAGUUUCUGCCUUUUCCCUUUUUCUCAAACAAUUUUUUUGCUUUCUUCUCUUUGAUACUUCUUUAGUUCUGUGGUCUAGGUUGAGAGUUAUAGCAUUGUGUUCCUGAUAUUUUAUACUGCAUUAUUACUUCCAUGUUGUUAAGGAGAAAACUUUGUUUUUACGUUUUGAUGCAAAUUCUUUAGUUUAUGAUUCUGCUUUUCACAGAUAUGCAGCGCUCUUCAUGACUCACCUUCUUGAGGGUAUAAAUGACUCGGCUAACUUUUUGGGUAAUCAUGAGUAAUAUUCUCAUCUAUGUAAAUAUUUUCAUCUCAUUUGCAAUAGCAUUGUUAAUUUUUUAUUUUCUUUUCAAUUUAGAUGGUGUUCCAAAAGAAGGACUCCGCGUAGAUGAUGUAUUGGUCCGACUUGCAAACAUUAAUCUAAUAGAGGAGAAGGUAUGUCAUGCCUGCAUUAGUUUACUGUUUCUCUAGCAACUAUCAAUUCUGAUCCUCAUACCUUUUUUUUGGAUAGAUUCGUACGAACUUAGUGUUAUUCUAGGUAAUAGGUAGUUUUUGCAGUAGGACAUACAUAUUAUAUUGUGUAUGUGAUUGUAACAAUUGCCCUAUAUUGCAUUUAACAUAAUAGAUUCAUCGAUAUUGCAGGUGCAGUACAUGUCAGAAAACCCUGGCGCUAAACUCUUUCCUGAAAAUAUAAUAGCUCAUUUCCCUAGCUUGUUGUUUGGGAGAGUAUGGAAGGUGGAACAUGAUUUACUCUUAUUGAAAGCUAUGCUAAAGUAUGAACUUCAUCCUUCUUUUGCCUAUUCAUUUGAUAUCUUAAUAUUUCUAAUUUGUCAAAAUGGCAUCCACUUGGCCUAUCAUAUACUAAAUUUGUUCACGUAAUAGUCUUUUUUUUUGGGGGCAACAACUAUGAAAACAGAACCCUUUGUCCGCAUCUUGUUAUGGACCAAACCUGAUAAGUAAUGGUAACUAGGGACCUAGAUAUGGAAUAAUAUGUGUUCAGUCCUAUGCUGCUUUUUGCUUUGUAGUUUGUACCUUGUAAAACGCUUGGACCUCUGAAAUGCGAAUACCUCAUAUAGUUCAUUUCAGCAUCCAAAAUAUGUUUCCUUAAAUUUGGUCACUCUUCUUUGGCAUUAUAAAUUUCCUGUUAUGUCGCAGUUGAUGGCCAAUGAUGCAAUUGUUGAAGGUAUAUUGAAGUAUUCCCACUACAUCCUUAACCGUAUGGUUUUAUGCUUUUGGCCAUUCUUUUGGCAUCUUCUCAAAAUCCUAAUCUUGAGUGCUCUGUUCUGGAACCUGCUCGCCACCAUGCAUCCAAUUAUGUGCACAAUCCCUGAGCUGCAUAUUUGUUUAUAUUUUCCCUGUAUAGUUAUGUGCGACAUUCUGUCAUGUCUUUUCUAAGGACAUAGGGUAUAUAGUAAUACAAUGCUAUUAUUAGGUUGAGCACAUUCUCUUUCUCUGCUUGCUGUCAGUGCAAGAAGAAUAUAGAGAAAAUGAGAAAUUUUUUUUUGAUGUUUCUAUAAUUGUGUAGCCUCAGCUUAUGCAUAUUCUUGAAGUUAUAGCCCAUUUACUUCUUUAGACUCUCGAUGUAAUAUUUCUCCUUCCAAUAUCUUUGGUCCUUCUUUAGCAACACUAACUGUAGCCCCUUAGCUGCCUUAAUAACAUAGCUUACUCAAGAAACACUGGUGGUUCUUUACAUAGCAGCAUUUAAGUAUUAAAUGACUAAAGUAGACAAGAGGGUCAUGAACUUUAGGUAAUGCACCAACUUUUUGCAUCGGGUUGCAAAAUCAAAAUUUUCACAUUCUGUCAAUGUUUUUGACCAUCUUCCAGACCACGUCAACAUAGUCAACUAAACUCAACAUUCAACCCAUGUGAAAAUUUGUAUGGACUCGAUUUUGGCACUCAAUCAUAUUUCAGACUUGGUUCUCAUCCCCAGCAGUCCAAGCAAUAAAGCUUCUCCUUGCCUAUGCUGCAUCUUUCAGCACAGCUAUUAUAGUUUGAACUCAGGAUAUCUGUAAACCACCUCCUUUACUACACUGCCUCCUCUCACAACCCCUAGUUGCUACAGCUGCUAUAGUUAGCUCUCAAGAUUAUUUGGCUUCCCUCUGCAGUCUUUUGUUAAAUUUUGUAGCACCUACUUAUUUUGGUACUUUCAGGCAUGGCUAUGCAAGGUGGCAAUCUAUAAUGGAUGAUAAAGAUAACGGGCUUGCCGAUCUUGUUCGUCAAGAAUUGAAUCUUCCUUCUUUAAAUGGAAACUUUACAGACACUUCUCAGACAUUUGAGGGUGGGAAUUCUGCUUGCACCACUGCCAAUGUCAGUAUCUCCUUUCGAGUACCCAAUACUUUAGUCUACUAUAUAAUAAUGAAAGGACAAUGAAAUAUUUUUCGCUUCUUUUCUUGCAGGGAACUCCAGAAGCUGCCAAGGGAAGCCAGUUAGGUCCAGACUAUGCCACAUUGUAUCAAUACAGGGAACUACAACGUAGGAUGGUCGAGUUUAUAAGAAAGCGAUAUCAUCUUUUGGAGAAAUCCAUGAACCUAGAAUACGCUAUGGUGCGUUUCUUUUAUACUUCUAAAGGUCAAAGAUUUAAAGUACCUUUUUUAUUAUCUUUUUUUUUUUUUUUUUUUUUUGUUGGGGGCGGUGGGGGGUUCAUUGUCUAUCUGGCUAUGUUUGUUUCUCUAUUCUUUAGUUUCUGAAGCACCUGAAGAACACCUUUUGUUGCUUCUUUUGUUUCCUUAAAGAGUAGUGAAGCUUCAAGUUUUUUUUUCAGAAAAUUUGCAUGCCAUAUUUUUUUUCUUUUCCUUUUUUUUUGUCUUGUUCUGAUGACUGAUUCUCCGUAUUUUUGGCUCUUGGCAGAGUAUAACCAAAACUAAUGAGCUUACAGACCACGAUCAAGAUACUGAAUCAAAGGUUGCUGAAGAGCAGCAUACCAGCUCAAUGUUGAAGGAGUUGCCUGUUUUGGAACCAAUUUGUAAGUGAUCUCUCACUAUUUCUUUCUAAAGGAAACUCGAAUGAAUUCAAAUGUUGGAAAAUUUGGAAAUAAUUAUGUUAUUGAUCUUUUUGCUAAGGGCUGUUUGGUUUCACGUAAAACUGUGAAAAAAAAAAUUUGUGGAAAAAUUUUUUUGGAGGAAAAUAAAUUUUACACUCUUUAGCGUUUGGUUUGUAGGGAAAGAAAAUAGUUUUCCAUUACGAUUACGGUUGUUUGAUUGAAAGGAAAAAAAAAGGAAGAUUUUAUAAAUGGAAAAUUAUUAUAUGUAUUUUUUUUUCUUAUCUUAUAUAUUAUAUAUCAUUGCUAUAUAUAGUCCUGCUAUGGUGCUUUUAAAAGCACCAAGCAUUUGGUGCUUGUAAGUUUUCCGCCGUUAGAUCCACUCGUUAGAUCAUACUAUUCAACCAACCACCCACUCUAUUCUAGGGGACCAUAAUCAUCCUAACUGCACAUCUCUUAAUCCAAGGGUCUAAAACCUACAAGCACCAACGACUUGAUACUUUUAAAAGCAUAGGAGGUCAAUUCUAUAUAUAUAUAUAUAUAUAUAUAUAUAAGAGGGAGAGAGAGAGGUCCGCCGUGGACCUCUCUCAUGCAGUCCACACGAUGGAGCGGACCUCGUGGACCGCAUGCUGUAGCUCCCCAACGCGUUGUGCCCAACACCACGUGUUUUUGCUUUCCACUUGAAGAGAUCGGAAAACAAAAACCUCCGUUUUCCUUACAAUCUGUAAAAAAAAAAUUUCCGAGAAAUUUUUUUUACAAGCAACCAAACACCGGAAUGUUACUUCUCAACCAAAAAAAAAAUUUCGGGGUGAUUUUACCAGGAACCAAACACACCUUAAGUUGUAUAGAUGUUACUAUGUUAGUCUUCUUUCACAGAAUAAUUUCAGUAUGCCCAGUAAUGUGCGUCAAAAUCCUGGAGUACUACUAUAAGGUUGACAGUUAGAAGUUCAGUUAACAAAUGUUGGAAAAUUUGGAAAUAUUAUGUUAUUGAUCUUUUUGCUAAGUUGUAUAGAUGUUACUAUGUUAGUCUUCUUUCACAGAAUAAUUUCAGUUUGCCUAUUAAUAUGUGUCAAAACCUACGUAUCACGAACACUUUUAUAAGCCUUGCGUGUCCAUGUCAGACACGCGCAUGUCCGUUUGGACACGUGUCCGAUGUGGACACUCUUUGAACGCGCGUUUAAUGCCGAUCCAUAGCACAUACAAUUAAAAGAAAUAUAAACCUAUUUUUAUUUAUUUUUUCUAUGCAUAUAUAAUGUAAGAUAAUAAAUAUUUUAACUUUUUGAUGAAUGUAUAUAAUUUUUUUUGACAAUAUAAAUAAAUUAUGUGUGGUGGAGAAUUUUUUUUCUUAAAAUAUAUGAACUAUUAAUGAAAAUUUCACUAACUUUCAUUUGUAUGCGAAAUAUAAUAAUAUUUUACCAAAAUUAAUAUUUUAUAUAUAAUAAAAAUAUAUUAUUAUAUUAAUAUUAUUUUAUUUUAUUAGCGGUGUUCAUGCCGUGUCCGUGUUCUAAUUUUUUGAAAGUUGCCGUGUCGCGGUGUCCGAGUCGUGUCGUGGCCCGUGUCUCGUGUCAGUUUCCAUGACGCCUAAGUCAAAACCCCCGUGUACUAAUAUAAGUUUGACAGUUAGAAGUUCAGUUAACAAAUGAUGGAAAUUUUGGAAAUAAUAUGUUAUUGAUCUUUGUGCUAAGUUGUAUAGAUGUUACUAUUUAAGUCUUCUUUCACACAAUAAUUUCAGUAGGCCUAGUAAUAUGCUUCAAAACCCUGGAAUACUAAUAUAAGUUUGACGGUUAGAAGUUCAGUUAAUUUUUGUUCUUUAGGAUUCUGUUCUUAACUUUCUAUGUGUUAUAUCCUACUAAAAGCAAACAGUAUUAAAUGCUUUAUGUUUUAGGAUCCUACUAGAGCUUUUUUUUCUCCUCCAUACCUGUCUUCUGCUGUCCUCUCUGUUGCAUAGUUGUUUCUACUGUUUGUUAUUUUCUGAACAGUUAUUUGAUUUACCUUUGCAUUCUUCUCAUAGAUUGAAAGUCCUAGUUAUCUUGUCAUUUUUGAGAUAUAGGUUUCAAGUUCUUCACAAUCCAGUCCAUACAUGUAACUUGCACUGGUAUUGCGCAAGUCCUUAAAUCAAUUGACACAAUCUCUGUAAUCACCAUGACUUGUAACCACUGAAAAUAAAUCUCUGAAUCAUGAUAAAACACAUCAUAUGGUGAUAUACUGAUAUGUCUACUUAUUUCUUUCCCUAAUUUCCAAGCCUGCUAUCACAAGAUGGCAGCAGAUGGUGCAAAAAAAAGCUACAUGUGGUAAUAAAGAAGAGGAUCGAAGCGAGAGCAGUAGAAAAUAAAAUACGAUAAAAACUGAGUCAACUUGGUUAUGAGGAGAUAGGAGAAAACAGGAGGGCCGAUGGGGGGCCGUAGGCGAAGAUCAGGGAGCCUAUUGGCUGACUAUGGUGAUCGAAAACAUUUUAUAUCUGCCAACCUUGUUGAUUGUUGUGAUGAUUUUUUUCCAUUCUUUUUGGAAUACUUUGUUUAUGCCUUCAGAAAACCCACUAAUUGCCGACAUCACGUGGGAUAUACUCUCAAACCUGCUUUUGGUGCAGUUUUUCUUCAAUUAAGUUGCAUAGGGAAAGAGUAAUUCCUGGGCUCCGUACUUUUUCUUUUUCGUUUUCUUUUACCUCGUGAGAUGUCUAAUAUCUCCAAGGGUUGGAGCUUGCUAACCAGAGUCCCCUUUCCAGCUGUUGAUGAACCUGCCAACAAUCUCAAGCCUGAUAAUGUAGAAGCAGCUUUGCUUUAUAAUAAGGUAUUUAUAAACAGUUUUAAUUAGUCAGAUUACAUCCACUCCUUCCCCAUUUACUAUUAAUAAGUGCAAUCCUUUUAAUGAUUCCAGCUAUGUAAAGUAGUUGAAGACGGCGAAACUGACUUGCUCCACUCACAUCUUGGGGACAAGAUUGCGGGUUCCAGGUUACAGGAUAAUCUCCGCCAACUCGAAUCGGCAUGUGAAGAUUUAUGCCGGUUUCUUUCAGUGCAAGAACAGACUGUUAAUUCUGCAGAAGCAGUAAAUGCCGAUGCUGCUGAUCGGAAAGCUGGAGCUAAAGCAGCAUCACCAGCUCAUGCGUCAACUUCUGCGGCGGAAGCUAUGGAUUGUUCAUCGAACGAAGUGGAUGACGUCAAAACAGUGGAUAAUUUAACGGAGAGGGUGACAGCUGUCGAUGAAUGAGUGAGAUUCUCCUUACAGGUGGUAUUACGAACAUUCCUGCUAAUUGAAUCUAACUGUUGUUGUGUAGGAUAAAGCUUUCCACUUCUGAUUUCUAAUAUACUAGUUCCAUAUAAACUCUUUUUUCGCCGGAUUAAAAUAUCAGAUCAGUUUCUCUUUUCUUUUUCUUUUUUUGUUUAUUUUGUUGUAGCCAAUCAUGGCAUAAUCUGAAUGGUUUUGUAGAAUCCCAUGCGAUAUGUAUUACGAAAUAUUAUAGUUUCCUUAUUAUUGUUAAUUUUGUUCUUCAUCUUUGUAGGUAAGAUAAAUGCCCCCGCAAAUCACAGGAUUUGUGAGUUUUAGUUUACUGAUGAUUUCAAUAUGUGAUCCUUGUAGUACAACUGCUCAGGACCAUUUUCUAUGCACGCAGUUUCCUGCAAAUGUUAUGUGAUUUCCAUUGUUUUCAGAGCUUAAAACUGUAGGCCGUUUUGAAACAACUUUAGUUCUUUUUUUUUUCUCUCUUAUUGACAACUUAAGAUGCUUUUGAUUUGAAAUGUUUUCCUAAAUCAAUGGCUCCACUAGCUAGGUUUUUCAUUGACACUUGACAGCUCCUUUUUUCCUUUGAUAUUUUUCGAUUUUCCAAAUUGAGUGGGGAUCUGCUAAAAUUAACGACUUUGCUAGCUAUUUUUCUUUCAUCGACAUUUCCUUGGACUUCAAUUCUUUUCUUUUUUUUUUCAAUUUGAAAUGUCUUCCUAAAUUGAGUAGGAUUUGUUAAAAUUAGCGGCUCUACUGUCUGUCAGACAAUGAUAAUUACUAGAGACUUACGAUAUAGUCUGCUUAUUAAACAUUAAGAAUAGUCGAAUUAGACAAGUUUGCUGCUAAAUUGAAAAAAUAAUCUAGUAAAUAAAAGUAUGUUAAACUAAAACGUUAACGUUAACAGAUGAUCAUGAGAAGAAAAAUAGUUAAAAGAUUUCCCAUCUUUAAAGUCUAACUGUGAUGGUAGCCUAAGAACUUUUUUCUGAAAGUAAGCUUGCUGCCCCGUAAACAUUUAGUAAUGUGUUAAUUGGUUUAUUCCAUUAUCCGGUAUUAAAUUUGUUAACAAAAGGCUAAGGAGUAGACACAAAAAAAAAAAAAAAAAAAAAAAAAAAAAAAAAAAAAAAAAAAAAAAAAAAAAAAAAAAAAAAAAAAAAAAAAAAAAAAAAAAAAAAAAAAAAAAAA
rnacentral:lncRNA from 1 species